rnacentral:lncRNA from 1 species
GUUGUCAAUGUUAUCACUACUUCACUGUAAUGGCCCAGUAAAACCUUUCCUCAUAUCAUACCAGUCCCACUGAUCCAAACAUGAUGUACAACCGGUUUUGGUUGUAACAUAUUGCAUGGUUUUAUUAAAAAAGUAAAAUUAAAUAAAAUCAAAAUGACUUCAUUUACCAAAAUGUUAUAUCUAAUUUCAUUGAUAUAUAAUUUAGUUAAUAAACCACACUCUAUAACUAUAUCAGUACCAGAACUAAUGUAAUGAUGAGUAUGGUAUUAUUAGCAGUGAGGUAUGAAUAAUCAUCCCUAGGAUUCAUUAUUAGCAAAUUUACAUUGUAUAAAAAUUUGCUGAAUAUUGCAAGUGCACUAGUGUUGCAAAGCAAUUGGAUUUCCAUAUUAAGUUUGUUGCAUACACCCAUGUACAAUCUUAAGUACUGCAUUGUGAUAGAUCUUGUACUAUAUUCCGCCUCCAAUAAAUAAAUAUCACCACUGUACAGAACAAAGGGUCAAAUUUGUUCUCUUCUUUUUUUUUAGGGCUUCAGCAGCUUGAAAACCCAAACUUCACAAGACCAUGCUUUCUGUUUGUGGGUUGAUUUUGGAGAGGAAGGAAGAGAAAGAAAAGGUUUGAGAGUCAUCUUAAAAAUGUAUUUCAUGGCUCCUAAGCCUUCUUUCUCUUCCCUCUCUUACCCUCGAAAAACCAACUCACAAAUAGACCCUAAGAAAACAAACAAUAAAAACAUCAUCGAGGAGGGGAAAGAAUGUGGCAAUUUGAUAUGUAUUGGAAAACUAAAAGCAGAUUAUGAGCAUGGUCUGCAAAAUAAUCAGCAUUCGUGUUGCCUCUGUAUGCAACAAUUCUAAAAAGGUAGAGUAUUUGUUGACCCAGGUUAGUUUCCACCAAUUUUAACACCGAUCACAUGUGUAUAUCCAUAUUAGCUGCAUCCAGAAUAGGGUCCGGCUUGAUCGAGUAAUUGUAAGCCCUUCGAACAAGUUUCAUUAGGCACUUUUGGUUUCACUUACAGCAUAUGCCAACAACAAGGGAAUUGAAAAACCAUAACCCAGAAAAUGGAGCACUGGGUUCAUAUCAUAGGCUUUUGUAACAGUUCUGCAAUUCUGCAAUGGAAUGGUGUAGAAAAUAAUCAAAUGAACCAAACAAAACAAGAGCGGAAAGAAGCAUGGAGAGCCAAAAAAACUGUAUUGGUAUAAUUUUUCAGAAUGAUAAUGGUACCAAGAAAUAUAUUUAGGAUAUCAUGUCAAGGAAUGAAUAACCAUUCAAAGAACUUAAUUCAUACCAUCCAUUACUAUCUUUUAGUCUCCUAUAUUAAUGUUAAUGUAUUAUUAAAAAUUCUAACAACAAACUCUUCACAACACUGUUUUAAACCUUCUUUCACACUAUCACCAAUAGUAAAGAGUUUGUUGGAGAGAGUGUUGAUAACAUUUUACGUAUACUUUUGCAUGGACUGAACUGUAAAGUAUUGGUUUUAAGCCUUACCAUGAAAUGCUUCCAACAUACUGCCAAGCAUACCAUAUGCUUCCGAAUCCAUCGUUUCCUAAAGGGGAAAUUGGAUUUUAUAUUGCUCUGGUUGCCAUUUGAUAAAGAUCUUCUAGAGUUCAAAUCAAUAUCAUCUUUUUUCUUCCCUGAAAAUGCUAACAUAUGUUCCCUGUAAAUGCCUCUUUCAGCAGUCAGAGCACCAGUCGCAAAAAAUGCCGGCAAAACCACAAACAAUAAAUGAGGUAGAACAACCACCAUGAUAUCUGGAGAUCCAACACAUUCAUGCUUCCCCUUUCCAUGAGAAGUCUGUACAGCCCAUCCUAUAUAGGUCAUGUAUCCCUUAUUUUCCCCUUCAGUAGAAACAUGACCAAUAAACCAGGGGGACAGUAUAAGAUAGAAUAGGUAUCCUAUCCAACUAAACCAUAACGUGCGAACCCUGCAGAGCUCCUGGAGAACCCAUAAUACACCAUUUGCGAAGCUUUUAUUAGCAAUGACGUUCUUGUAAGUGUAUAACUUAUUUGAAAAAACAAGGAGAGCCUUUAGGAAGAAGAAGAAAGAAGAACAUACAACCCAGAGCAGACCAGAAUAAUGGGUAAUAUAAAGCAGACCAUUGACAUCCCAUGACCAAAAACUCCUUCCAGCUCCAAGAAAGCUUGAACCUAUGACCAUUUAUUGAAAAUGGAUCGGUCAAAGUUGAUCUGCCCAUGAUGUCAAUUGCUUCAACUUGAAGCCAAAAUCUAUCAGGAGAAGCAUCUUCGAAGGCUUUGUAAUUCCAUGGAGCAACAUAGAGUUCUCCUCUGGAUGUCUCAUUGGCAUGCUUGAUCAUAGGUGCUUCCACAACUAAAUCAAAGUUUCCAUAUCUUGAAUCAUAUACUCUAGCCACAACUGACACAACUGGAGAAACAGAAAACACCAGAGCUCGAAUGGUCUCCUAAGACGGAGGCACGGAUUGACAUUCAUAUUUAUGAUUAGAUAAAGAUGUUGACAUGAAGCGAGAGUCCAAAGGAAAAGUCGGGAAUAUAAUUGCCGUUUUUUGCUCCCUGAUUGGAAAUCAAUAUCAACAUAGGAAACAUGGCCACUAUCAAUGGCUAAAAUUCGAAGUUGUCUAUUCUUUCUCCAAUCACCCAUCUCCCACUCCCAAAACUCUUGAAUUGGCAAGGUUUUCGCGGAACAAUUUACAUUACUUUGAAAAGAACUCUGGUGCAUGUUAAACUGAAACAACUUGUGCAAGGAUAAAGAAUGAUUGGUCGACUGAUGGAAUCUCUUUAAGUUCUUACCAAAUUUAGUAUGGAGAUGCCCACACAGGUAAGCUGAUAUGGAAUGCUUUAGAAAAACAUCUUCUAAGGUCCUACCAGAACCAGAGGGUGCAGAAAAUGAGAGUGGAAAAUGCCCAAAGGAGAUUUUCGUAACUGGUUUUGCUGACUGAGAAUCCCAGCGUGAGAGUUCUAAGUCUAGAUCCAUUAGUAAUUGAUCUGUGGGGUGCCCAAAGACAUUAGUUGGACCUCGUAAGCCAAUUGACAUUGUGCUGUCAAACUCAACAAAUAGAUGUUUCCGUUCCUGAGUCUGUGAUAGGUAUGCAAGUAUGAGCAAAAGAGUAUAGCAAAAGAGUAUGGAAAACAUUUGCAGUAUCAAACAAUAAAAUAUAUCAGCAUUCAAGCCCACGGUUUUGAGCUCUCAUUUCUCAACUUUAAACACGUACAUAAUUCAAGAAAGAAGAAACUUUAAACACGUACAUAAUUCAUUUCCCAGCAGUAUUAUUCAGGAAAGAAGAAACUUUUAACUGAUCACGAGAAUGAUUCAAUAACUAAUCCACAAAAUGACAGGCUAAAUUAACAUUUUGGGAAUUCCAAACAAUAGAUUGAAUGAUUCUUCUGCCAAAAAUUAGGAACUUGCCAUUGAACAAAAGAUUAUAGUCAAUCUUUUGCAUUCAUUGCAAAACAUUUACCUCUAUGUCCUUUUAAUGGUUUUCUAGCUUUUCUUUGUCUCCCUCUACCUCUAACUAGUGAGUUAUCCUCCAUGACCUAGUUUUCUGACUUCUCACAACCCAAACAACCUUAGACAUGAUUCUAUUGUUUUUUCUUCAAUAUAUGUUCCCCUAUUUCUCUGAAUGCCCUCAUUCCUAAUUUUAUCUUGUAAUCUAUAUCCACUCUGACAAUGUAGCAUCCUUAUAUUUGCUAAAUAGAGAUUAUACUGUCGUUGGCUCUUUAUCACCCAACAUUCAGUACCACAAAGCAUCAGGAACCUUAUAGUUGUGUACUAAAGUUUUCUCUUAACAUAUACUGGAGUAACAAUGGAUAAAAGCUAUCAAGUGUGUCGCUGUAGAAUAUAUUAUCGAGCUUCUACAAAAUCAUUUAUAUAUCUUGUGUUGAAUUGACUUUUGCUAUUAUAAAUGUUUAACAAUACUUAAAUCUGUUCUUAGGAGUAUAUUUCAAAAAAAUAAGUUAAUUGCACAUAAUUUCCACUACACCAUUGUUCACUAGUUAAUGGUGUACAAAGAUAUUCUAAACAACAUGUAUUGUUUUGUUAAUGAACUAUUAAUAAUCAAUUACCAUACAAAACGCAUUGAUGAUUAAAAUUUUCUACAUCAUUAACUGGUGUUGAAAUGCAUGCAUACAUAAGAACUGAUAUUUCAUAGAAUGAUAGUUAGAGUAAAUGGUGUACCUCAACGGUGAUGCUAUUAACACUCUCACUUCUGCCUAACUGCCCAUUGAUGCUGUAUUUAGAAAAGAAAUCCAAUGAACCGCCAACAACCGGAACACCGAAAUUAUCAUAAUUGCCUUUAAGGUCGAAGAAUAAGCUCUUGUCAAGUCCACUCCUCUCGAUAACACUAUCCAUUACAUCCCGAUAUUCCACCCAUUCAUCCUCAUUCUGCUUCAUUGUUAGUAAAUCUUUGCUUUUCCCAUCUGGAGGAGAGAAUAAAAGAUCAUAAAAGACUGUCCAUCAUAUCACUUUUAAACACUUGUGUUCUUUGUUAGAUUACUUAUAUCUUAUGAGUUCGCAAUUAUGAUAAAACACAAAAAAUGGUUGACAACCCAAGUAGCGUGGAUAUGAGUAGCACUGUAGCAGUAUAGAGUAGGAGAUAUGGUAAAAUUUCUAAUGAGGUGAACUACAUUAUAAGCUAAAAUUUGUAAAAUUUCCAACAGAGAUUCCCUGUUUCCCAUGAUAUUGUAUAAGCAAAAGUAACAAAACAAGUUUUUAUAACAUUCCAAUAAGCACAUGGCAAAAUUUAACAAACUAUUAACCGAACCAAACCAAACUGUCUAACGAUGAAAAACAGCAUGAACCGAACCGAAUCAUCCUUUUGUUCAGUUCAGAACUACCCACGGUUUUAAGAGCAGGGCCCACGUAUUUAUGGAAGUCAUGGGCACGAUCUGGAUGAUGGACACUAAAAUGAAUAUUUGAACCACCCAAACCACUGAACUAGGGUUACCAUUUGUGUGUAUCACUCUCUCAUUUUCUUUUCCUCUUGCACCAUAACUUAUGAGAAUCAGUACCAACAUAACAAGCAUCAUUCUUCUUCUUCCUCCUCCCUGGACUAUUGUUAACUUUUUUUAUCUGGGAGUGUUCACUUUCAUGCGCUGAAAAUAAACAACCUGUAUCAAUUUCGCAUGAAUAGAAAUUAUAUAUACCAACAUAACUCUAUUCCGAAUUAAUCAUAUACUAUUAUGAUUUAUGAGUAAUAUUAAUAACUUAAAAAUUAAUUUAAAUUUAUAUGAUAUACUUAUUAAAAUUUUAUUAGUGGUAAUGGGUUAGGUUAGGCAUAGAAAAAUAAGAUAGAAGAUUUCACUUCAUUUUGAUAUAGGCUGUACCCAUAAAAAUUUGGUAUAGGCAUGUACCCAAUAAACUUUGAUAUAGGCAUGGUCACACAACCAAUCAAAAUUAUUCCACGUCAUUAAAAUAAGGAUUUUGUUAUUUUUUAAUUGUUUUUUUUUAUAAUUAUUAGUUUAUCUAUGGGUAAGCCUGUGAUUAGUUGUAGGCAUGCAUAUUAUUUUUAUUUGAAGUGGACUAUACUUCACUUAUACUCACAAACCCUGAAAAUAAAUUUGUUAGGGGAUAAUAUCAGUGGUUAAAAUAAGAGGCUUUUAUUUGAGAGUAUGAUUUUGGAGAGGAAUGGAGUGAAAGAGAUGACUUUGUAAGUCUCUCUCUUGUGUGGGAGUUUGAUGAAUGAGAUAAGAAGGUUUUGGAGGGUUUCUCAUACCCUCAUAUGUGUGUAUUUUUAUAGUUUCCUCAAUUUGGAUUUUUUUAGAGAUAAAAUGUACAUAAAUAUUUUUAGUAAUAUUAUAUAAUUAUAUAUUAUUGUUCAUUUCUCAUUGUUAAUUAUAUUUUUAAAGAAAAAAUAAAAAUACUCUUACAAUAUCAUUAUAUUACUCUCUCACAUCUAAAUUUCAUACUCUCAAACAAAGAGAAUUGUCCUCCUUUCUCAUUUCAUCUAUCCCUUUCCUAGACAUUUUGAUUUCUCUCUUUCUCUUUCCAUUAUAAUUGUCAAAAGGUGUCAAUAUUUUGCAUUCUUGCAAAAAAUAACUAGAAAUAACACAUUCCCAACUUUAAAAAUUAGCAUAAAAAAAGAUCAAAACAUAAGUAUAUUAUUUUCUAUGAAUUUUUUUCUAUAACUUGCCACAAACUUGUAAUAUUGUAUAAUUACCUUCUUGGGUUGGUUGAAACAAACUCUAUUAAUAAGGUCAUAAAUUCAAACUUUCUUCAACACUUCACCUAUUAAUUAAUUUGAUUCAUGAAACGAAUGUGUUAAAUUUUAGUUAAAUUUAAACUUAUUAAAUACAUGAGUUAAACUCGACUCAUAUAAAUCUAAAGUCUUUAGGUUAAUAAAUUGAUUCAAUUAUACAUUUGUAAUGUUUUAUAACUACAUAUACUGGUAUGCUUGGGAAUUAUGAAGGAAAUUGAAUAAGAGAAAUCAAAAUGCUAGGAAUGGGAGAAUAGAAGGGAAAAGGAAGAUAAUUAUCUCCUUUGUUUGGGAGUAUAAAAUUUAGAUGAGGAUGAUAGAAUAAUUAUAAUGUUAGAAUAUUUUUUUAUUUUUCCUUUAAAAUGUAAUUAACAAUGAGAAAUGAACAAUAAUAUAUAAUUAUAUAACUUUACUUAAAGUUUUUAGACAUUUUGUCUCCACAAAAACCUCAAAUUGGGAGAACUAUAAAAAUAGACAUAUAGAGGGUUAUUGAGAGCUUGAAAAACUCUUCAAAACAUUCUCAUUUUCUUCAUCCAACUCUCAAACAAUGAAUGUUUUUGCAAAGUCAUUCAUUUUCUUCCCCUCCGAAACCACAUUCUUAAACAAAUCCUUUAAAAAAAUUUAAGGUUUCUACUAAUCUUACAGAAAGCACAAAAUUCAAAAUGUAGAGUUUGACAAAUUUAGUGAAGCUGUUAUGCUAGUUUGACAACAAGACAAUUUGAGCACAUUAAACAUCCUCAUUCCUUAUGUCAAUAAGUUAUGUUAAUUUGAGAACAAGUCAAGACUUAAAGUACAAGAGGCAAAUCUAUAUACAAAGUGUAUUGAUGAAGACAAUCUAUAUAAGACAUGUUACAAUGACAACCUCUGAUCAUACAAGAUUAGAGAUUCCAAGGACAAGAAGUUUUAGAUUUAUGUAAUUUACUUAUUAUCAUUAAUUUUAUUAAUAAAGUCCUAAGAUAGGUUUAAGAUACUUGGGAUAGAGUAAUACUAUAAGUGAAUCUCACAUCUUUACCAUACAAAAUCAAGUUCUUUAAAUAUUAAAUGUUUUUACAUUGAGAUACAUUGGAUUUUCAUUUUGAAAGUAUUGAGUUAUUCCCUCUCAAUAGUAACUACGUAUCAUAUUAAGAAAGUUAGGGAAAUAAUUAUUUUAAAAAGUUGACUACUUCACACAACACUGACCUCGAUUUUUAGGAAUAGAACAAAACAAUUCUACCAAUUCUGAUUGAUAUAGGGAGAGACUCAUACUUGAUAAAUAUGAAGAAGAUCUAACUCUUUAAUAUUAGUUAAGUUUUGAUGAAGAUACCAACAUAACAAAAAGAAUAAAAAAGAUUGAAGAAAUGAAAGCAAACACAUCAAGUGGAUAAGAUAUUAUUGUUUUCUAAGUUAAGUACUUCCAAAAGCUUGAAUUUCACAAUUUCUAAUUUCAUAUUCAAAGUUGUUGAAGUUUUUCAGAAAUAUUUUUUCUACACUUUCAUUGCUUCUGAAAAACAUAAGAUCAUUAUGUUAUAUUUAUUGUAUUUGUCUUACAAAGGAUUCAAAUCCUAAGUGUGAGAACAUUUAUCAAUCCUAAAGCCCUAGACAGAAAUUCUUCAAUUGUUCAUACUUAUAAAUCACCAUAGGUAUGAUGAGGAAAAAAGUGUAAACUAAGAAGUGGUGUGCUUCUUGUUAAAGGAUUUGUGAGUGAGAAUCUUGGUGUAACAUUUGUAAAGAUUAAACUCAUACAUAGUGAAAAUCUCUUGUGAUUUGCAAGAGAACUAGAUAUAGCCUUUGAUAGAUUGAAGGUGAACCAAUAUACAUAUGGUGUUACUUGUCUUUUCCAUACUCUUUUAAUUUCUAUUGUUUCGAUUUUUGGUUACUUAAGUCUUCCAUUUGAUAAUCUAAUUGUUAUUUUAAAAAGAGCCAAAAAUCUUCUCCGUAGAAAACUAGUUCAUCCCCUCUUAGUUUGUCAUCUAUACUUACAAUUGGCACUAGAGCGAGGCUGAGUAAGUUAUUCCCUUGAUCCUAACAUUCUAGAUGACCUCUAUGUAUUUCUUUGGAGAAGGUUCCAAUAUCAAUCGCCUUCCAAGUUUUGUUGGAGACUGUUAUAACUUCUGGAAAAUUAGAAUGAGAAUCUUCAUAGAGUCUCAAAAACUUAGACAUAUAAAAUGCAAUAGAGGAAGAUCCAUACAUUCCUAGUGUUGUUAUUAAUGGAGUCAAAGAACCAAAAUCAAAGGGUGUAUGCAAUGAUGGGGAUAAGAAGAAAGUUCAAUCUGAUCUUAAAGCUAAAAACAUCUUGACCUCUGUAUUAGGUAUAUAUGAAUUCUUUAUAAUAUCAAAUUGCAAAUCAACAAAAGAAACGCAUGAUGGAACUUGCAGGUGAAGAGGACCAAGCAAGAUUGAACUUAUGAAGAGGACCAAGCAAGAUUCAGAAAGAUCAUCCAAGAACAAAAACUUUAGUUUUAAUCAACAAGAAUGCAUACAAAGUAUUUGAUGCUUUGCUUCAGAAAAAGUUGAUCCAGAGAAUAUAGUAGGUGAUGAGAGCCAAAGACAAUGGAAUGAUCAAGAGGCUUCCUCCAUAUUAAGGAAGGAAAAAUUGAGUGAUGAAAAUUUUAGUGAUUCUAGGUAUGAUAAUCAGAGACAUGAUGCUGCAUAGGAGGAAAUAGAUAGUGAAGGGGUCUACACAUUUGAAUCCGAGGAGGUUGUGGAUCCUUGAAUUUGCAAACCAUUUAAUCCAUUACUUAGAGGAACAUAUAAGGAUAACUUUCCAGAUAAAGGCCUUCAUUUUAUCUUAGAGAAGGUCAAUUAUCACCAUAUGAAAGUUGCAUGUCAUUGUGAGGGUAGAGGUUGGAAAUUUUGGGGGAUAGCAACUUAAAAAGCAAAUGUUGGGGCCGAUCAAUUCAGCUUGACCCUGUCCAUUCAACUAACUCGGUAAAUGAGUCUUACAUUCUGGUGCAACUUGUUGUUGGAAUCAAUCUUAACCUUUAACUCAAUAGGUGGGGGAUUGGAUUUAUGAAUUGCUGAAUGCCGACCACACCUUUUAAUUACAUACUGCAUACUUUUCUUGUGAUACUAAUACAUACUGUUGGGCUUUUAUGAUUGUGACAGCUACUUUGAUAUUAGGACUUGAAGGAUUGCAGGUUUUAGAGGCAAGGUAAGAAGUCUUAUAUAUCUCUAAUUUUUGUUUGGUAAUCCUUGUGUUUCCAAUUCUGUUAUAUGGUUAAGCAAUGCUAUACUAAUACGUUCCAAUCUGAUUUGCUUAAUUUUUGUUAAUACCUUACUAUUGCAGAACCUGAACUACAAGCAAAUAAACCAAGGAAGGAUUGCUAAAUUCAAGGUCUACAUGGUUACUUAGUUUUCUGAAUGCAUGAAUUGGGGAAGCAAAGCCUAUAGAGAUGUUGCUGUUCAAGGAUUGGUGUUUCAGUUUGCUUUUAAAGUAUUCCAAGUAGUGACGUUUUAGCCAAUUAGAGAUCAAAACAAAAAAAAAACAUUGUUAGUGUACCAAUUCAAUUUUCUGUUGUAACUUAUGCGUUCAAUUACUAAACAGCAAAAGGAAUGCUUCAUUUGAAGUGAUUGAAUAGUGAGAAAGUUCACUGAUGUCUGGACCCCCCCUUUUUCGGGUGGUUUUCAUAGCUAAUGUUUGGAUUAUUUAAGAUGCCUCACAUUUUUAUCAACUUGAGACUAUGUCAUUCAUUUAAGUGGCUUGUAUAUGAUUACUGAGUUGGGACGUGAACGUUAAGGUAUAUACAUGCUUGUUUCAAAUAUUUCUUAACGUGAUGCAGGUUGCAUGCCCAUAUCUGUUAUGAUAGAUAGUUAUGUGAUUGUACAAGUUAUCACCAUUCUAAAAUAAUAGUUACUGCUAUGUUCAUAAUCAAGGCAUUCAUAGUAAAAUUCUAUUCACACGACAAACUCACAUUGGCUUAUCUCAACUUUGAUUAUUGUUAAAAGAUGCCAAAAUCUUGUUCUAAAUAAAGUGAAGUUGUACAUAAUUUUAUUUUUUAUUGAGUUUUGCACUAAUGAUAAAAAGUAAAGGUAGGACAAAAUUGAGUGUUCACAUGAAGUACAAAGUAUUUGUCACCUAUGGAGACAAUAACAAAGGAAUAAUUCUUGGAGUUGGUCAAGUUGGAAAACCACUUUCUACCAUCAUUGAAGGAGUACUUUAUGUUAUAGGCCCGAAGCUUAAUCUUCUAAAUAUUAGUCAACUUUGUGACAAAGGCUUGAACAUGGUUUCAACUCUGACAAAUUCAUCAUUGAAGAUAAGGUAACCAGUGAUGCUAAACUUAUAGGAAAUAGAAUUGACAAUAUUUAUAUAAAAAUAUGAUUUCCUUAAAUGACAUUUCCUUUAAAAAUAAAUGUAUAGUAGUUAACAACGAUGAUGCAAGACUAUGGCAUAGGAGAAUUGCUCAUAUUCAUAUGGAUCAUUUGAAUAAAUUGAUUAAAAAUGAACUACUUGGUUUGCCCAAGAUAAAGUUUGUUAAAGAUAAACUAUGUGAUGCAUGCCAAAAAGGGUAAACAAUUAAAAAUAUAUUUUAAACCUAAGCAUAUAUUUUCUACUAAUAGGCCAUUACAAUUGUUACAUAUGGACUUAUUUGGUCCUUCAAGGACUAAGAGUUUUGGAGGUAACUAAUAUGUUCUUGUAAUAGUAGAUGAUUUUUCAAGAUUCAUGGGGAUAUUAUUUUUGGUGCACGAAAAAUGAAGAGUUUUGGAGGUAACUAUUUUGUUUAUGGAUCUAAAUGCUUUUAGAAACAUGUGCAUGAAAAUACAAGAACCACAACUAAACUUGGCUUUAGACUUUAUUGUUUAUGGGAUGAGUUCCAUAGGAAGAGGUUUUGCUACUAUGUGUAGAUUCCAUAAAGAGGAAAUUAUGAGCAAAAAGCAAAAAGUAGUGGAUAUGUUAAGAAUAGAUAAAUUUUGUUUGUAGGAAAUUUUAACCUGAAUGAUAGCUUGUUGCAUAACUUUUUGAGUUAUAUUGUAAUUCUUAAAUUUUCAAAUCAUUCUCAAAUUAAUGGUUUGAAAUUACUAACUUGUGAUAUGAGUACUCACGUUAAAAGUUUUAUACUCUGUCAAUUCAUUAUCCACCAUUCAUUUUUUAUCAUUAUUAACUCUUCAAAAAAUUAAUACAAAUAAAUAUAAGAUAAUAUACCAAUAGUGCAUAAAUAUUACACUUUUUCAAACUUAUUCUUGGCGUGUUUCUAUCCCAUGUACAAAUACUUUUGUAAAAAAAUAUUAGAAUACUUUAUUUUAAUUUUAGACUGAAUUUCACUAAUAGUUAGGAAGAGUAAAAUUUCUUUAUUAAUACCGGAUUGGCCGACUGGGAUUCUUGAUCCAGCUUUUAUUGCCCGGCAUUAUUUAUUGUAAUAACAAAACUACCCUCACCACGCAUAACAUCCUGUUUUGAAUUUUUGCGGUGCCGUCACUGCCAUUGCAGAACUUCGUCAAGCUUCAGAAAAGGUUAGUCUCAAUAACCCUUAACAUGAACCUUGAAAUUUCAUAUAAACCCUAACAUAGUUCUAAUGUUAUCAUGUAUUCAAACUACAAUGAUUUCUAGAUGUAUAAAAUUUGACAACGUUUUCCAAUUUUCACUUCCAGCUUCAAGCUUUAAACAACUAAACCCUAAACAUCCAUCCCAUAAACAUCUCAAUUUUAACGAUAGAUCCCAUAAAACAGCGCAUUCCAUUGAAAAAUUGAACUUCCGUCACCAUCUUCAUCGUUUUCGCUUAUUUAUUAAAUCUCUGUUCAUGUACUAUGGUAGGAUUGGUAGCAUUAUAUGAUAGCAUUGUAUAUAUAGUGUUUAAAUUGGGUUAUGCCGUUUGUGUUUACUCUCGAAACUGCAAUAGUGCAGUUGUGAAUUGUAAGUUAAUAUACUGAUUCUUCCCAUUUAAAAGAUCCAUUUUGGCUAUGUUAGAAUGUUAUAACUCUAUAUAGGUUGGAAUUAUUUCAGUUCGCUUCUAAUGAUUGUACUUGUUAAGUGGGGUUGGGGAAGGGACUCUUGAGGUCUGGGUAGGCAUGAAGUGUAAUUUAUGUGGUUUUGGUCGUAUUUAGAUUUUGAUAGAUGUCUGUGUUUGUUGUUUGAUUGCACCAGGAUCCAGGGGUGCAUCACAUAUCUCUGUGUACGGGUUCACACUUCAGUCACGCGUCCACCAUCUAGCCAAGUUUCUGCUCCUCAAUCAAGGUAAGAGCACUAGCCACCAUCUAAGGUAGUUUGUGGUUUUCAGCAACCACUUAUGGUUUUUCCCAUGUAAAAGACCAAAGUUUCCGAAUCAAUUUCAUGUUUUAUUGAUCCUAUUGUAAUUGGUACUCUGGUAGUCACAGGUUCUUCUAUUUAGUCAGCAAUGCUUUAGUUGUUUGAGCUCCAUAUGGUCAUAUACAUUAGGAAACUAUUUGAUUGGGGUUAAUGUUCAUUUUCUAUGAGAUUGUCAUCUUCAUGGUUUUUCAUUGUUAUAAUAACAUAUUGGCAGCCUUGUUUUUUAUGGCUAUUUUACUGGUCAUUCUGCUUAUGGUUUUGCAGUGGAUCUCAUGGCAAUUAAAUUGGUAUCUUUAGAAAUUGUAACAACUCUUAGUUUAGAAUCUCACAAUAUCACUUCACAUGCAUAAUUUCCUUCCCAAUUAUUGCUGUUCUGAUAAUGAGUGUCAACUUAAAUAAACGAAAAUAAAAACCUUAAUCAAAGAUUUGAUUACUAGAAGCGACACUUGUUGGGAGAGUCACCCAUACACUCUGAAAGGGACUAGUUCCUUACCCAUAGGGUGAGGGGAUACCUUUGAUAGUACCAAAAAAAUCAAGAAAUAAUAUAUUGUCAACACUAAACAUGUGGGCUCCUCAAACCUGUUAAGUUGUAUUGUACCAAAAAAAUAAUAAAAAACCAAUAAUUCGUAGUUUUGUUAAACAUUUUAGUAUUUUACAAGGAAUCGAGAUUAUCUUUGAACCCUAGAACUAGAAUAAGAGACUUCACCCCAGCCCUAACUAAUCAGAGGACGAAACCACCCAUCUUGCACUUUGCAUCAUAUAUCAGACGCAGACAGUAGCUUUAUCCUUAUUGGCGUCGCCUCUGCAUUCCAUGUGUUGGUGUUCAGUUCAUAUUGAUUGGAAACUUGUUUCAUUUGGUGAGUUGAAGCCUUAUUUAUCAAAAACUGUGAUUUUCACACUGCACAUCUCCUUUUCCUCCUUGUGCCAACUAAAAAACUUGAAAUGACAUUAGAUUUCAAACAAGUAUGGGAAAGUAUAGUAUAGUAUAGAAUUGUGAAUUCUGUUGUCUUAAAUGGGGUUCAUUAGAUUCAGUAUGUUUAAAUAGAAAAGAAAUAAGUAAUGCUAAGGUAAUGAUGUGCAGGAAUAGGAUAGAAAAGAAUAUGAGUUUGCUUUAUGGCUGGUAUUUUAUAAGUAGAUUAGAACAAGUUAUAAGAUAUAAACAUGUCAUAUUUUGGUUCUAUUAGAGGAGGUGGAACCAAAGAGAACAGAAUAUAACAUCUCAUUCCACCAUAUUGUUCUGUGCACCAAAUGCUAGCCAAGUGUGAGCUUUCAUACUAAUGAAUCAUUAGCCUGACCCACCUUGGCACUAUGUUGAUGAUAGGUCUGAGUAUUAAAACAUUGCGACAAGGGUCUGAUAAGUACAACUCUGUUUAUGUAUUAUGUUUUUUCUUUGGCUUUAAAACCUUGACUUGCAUUGUUCCCUUCAUUUAUCAGGGUACGAAGAUCCUAAAAUGAGUGUUGCAGAAAAACCAAAGAAAGUCAGUAGUUCUCAAAUUGUUAAGUUGGACAAGGCAUUGAAAUUGGUAAACUUUUAUCUUUUUUGCAUAUGUUUCUGUAGAUGGAGAAUAGGGUUUAGGAAUUUUGUGUUUGUCCAGUGAAUGGUGAAUUACUUUAUGUCGGAUUGAUGUAUUUGCUAGGUUUGCUGUGAGUGCUGAUGAACAAUAUAAUUUGAUAAGGUGCAUAUUUUCACAACAAAAGAUUUGUUUACAGACUGAAACUUACUCUAGAAAUUGACUUCCUUCAUUCUGAAAGAUUUACACUAUUUGAUUUAUAUUCGUUUGCAAGAAAGUGUUGAUUCAUGUAAAAUAAAGAACUAUUCUAGAAGGCAUCAUUUUUUAUAAAACAAAGCAGCUUUAAAAUCUGUUUGAACUUGGAAUAAAAUGCUAAACUUGCUCCCAACUAUCUCUCAGUGUAUGCUGUUUCAUUCUAUAAUAGGAAUUGUUUCGUUUCCGUAUACUCUAUCUUUCAUUACCGUCUUUCAGUAUUUUAUCAUCCAAUGUUCAGGUUAUUCCCAGAUAGUUUUAUGCAUUGAAUAGUGUUAUUCAACUUGGAUACUACACCGAACUUGUAAACAAAGAAAACGCAAUUGCCAAGGCAUUGCCGCUACACACUAAAUAUCCACAUAGGCUCAUAAGUCAUGACACUAAAUGAUCUUGAUUCUUGAGAGAUUUUCUCAAAUAAAAAUUUAAAUUUUUCAUCUGUUAUGUUGGACCUCAGCUAGAAGCAAAAUAUAGUUUAUUUGGAUCUAGAAUUUAAGUUGGUGUCUUUCUUCCCACCUCAUCCCCCCAGAAGGAAACAAGUAAAAAUCUUCUUACAUCUGAUCCUUUCACAAGCUGAGGGAUGAGGAGAGAACUGUCUUUAAGUUCCCUUAACUUGUGGUUAUUGGUCCUUUUUUGGAAUAAACAAAGAUCGAUUUUUCAAAUUACCGUCAAAUUUUCAGUGCUGCUGGUAGUUACCUGUUAACCAUUCUGUUGGUAGGCUGAGAUAUGGGUAAAUAAUAUGAGCCAAGAUGCAGAUGAUGGAACAACAUAUGCUGAUAUAGAGGGUCGACCUUCUAGGUCAGUACAACUAAUCACAUUAAACCGUUGACUAUUUUAACUUCUACAUGUUUAUAUAAUGUACUUGUUUGCUUGCUAUGAUAACUAUUUUUACAACAUGUUUUACCAUGACAAAUGUUUCUAGGCUUGGGCUAGGUGCAAAAAUUUCACGCCAAUCCAAAGUUGGGCCUUCAGAUGACCCAGUUGACAGGAAAUUGUAUGCCAAAUUGGGUGCUGAAAAAAGAAAAAGGGCCAAGAUUGCUGAAGAGUCCACCACAGUUGCAAGAGAUGAUUUAGAUGACAGUGAGGACGAUGAACAGGAAGAAAGUAGGACUAGUGCAUUUUCCAAGAAGAAGGCGGUUCCUUUGAGAUUGCCUAUAUUGGGAAAUAAGAAACAGAAGUAGCAUUAUGAAUGUGAGUUGUUUCUGAAUUUUGAUUAUAACACUGUUAGUUUUAGUAUAUUAUGCAUUUGCCUUGCUGGAAUGGUGGCUUCAAUCAAAUGUAAUAUAUUUUCUUAAAAUUGUUAACAUGCCUUUAAUGGAAUGUAGUUGUUUACUUGAGGACUAUGGCCAAAAGUAACUAAUUUAUAUUCUGCCCUUGCUAUAUCUAGCUUACAUUAAUUACUUAAUGUGGGUUAACCCGACUAUCUACAUUAUGGAUAUCUUUCCAACUUCCCUCUCCAGGUCUUAAGGGCCCAUAUUUUAACAUGAAAAUAAAGUAACAAUGUUCAUAGGGAAAUAGUAUGCAGUUUGGCAUAUAUGUUCUUAUUUGCAAGUUGUAACUGAUACUGAUGUCAAUGGAAAAAUGGGUGCCUCUUGUUGGGGGACAUGCAUUGCUGGUUUCUUGUAUGCCUCAAAUUGUCUGGUUUACAGUGUGCUAUUUAAAUUGGUGGCAUGUUGAUAAGAACAGGAUUCUUUUGGUAGAGCUCAUACUGUAUAUUUAUUCCAUUACACAAAACAAACAUGCUCUUAAGUCUAUGUGUAAUGGAACCAAUAUACAAUAGGAGCUCAUGGUUGCUUAUUUGUGGAAUUGUGGUAGUGGAUGAAUAAGGCUAUUUUUUUUUAAGACUUCAGCAAACCAUUUCAAGUUUUCAAUCAGCUAAGUUAGUUCUGGAUCAUGCUACUAAUAUUUUUAAUGCAUGGAAGCCUCUAAAUUUGUUUGAAGGGGAUAAAGCAGCUGGUGGUUGAAUAUGUUAAAUGGGAUUUUCCUUCUGGUUAGUAUAAACUAAAUACAGAUAGUGAGUGGCUUUUGAAGGUAAUUUAGGUGAUGUUGGUUGUGGCUUGUGAGGGGCUCAUUAGACUUGAUAAUGGUAAUUGAGUUCAGGGCUUUAGAUUCCAUACUGAUGUCUAUUCAGCCUUGGAUAUCUUAGUCAAAAAAUAAGGAAUGGUCUAUUUAGAGAGGGAACAUAUAUGUUGUCUCACAAAAGUGUGUCACUCCAUGUGCCACUGCUUGUGUUUGGUUGAAUAAAAUAUAUUUAUGUUAAAAACCAAUCACAAGCAAUGACACAUGAAGUGAUACACAUUCUGGGACAGAAGAUGUUUACCCAUUUAGAGAAGGGAAUAAAUGUGUGGAAUGGCAAGCUAAAUGGAGCUUGACAAAAGAGAUUGGAGAUCAUGCUGUGUUGAUUCGUUGGGGCUUCCAUAUCUGGGCAGUUUUUUCAAUUUUAUUAAGAUUUAAGACUGCUUACAUAUAUUUUCCAAAAUUUCAUUAGGUAGGUGCCUCGUGCACUCUGUCACCGCUAUUCUCUUUUUGUUGACUGUUAGCUCCUUGCAUUCAUGAAAAAAGAACAUUUUGUAUGGUUGAGUAUUUUACUGAGGGUUAGACUUUUUCUCGGGAGAUUAAUUAUAAACACAAUUUUUAGCGUGGAAUACAUGAAUUGAGAUUUGAACUUGGGUCUUCAAUUUUUGUGUGGAAAGGCAUUUAGUGUGUUUGCUUCUUGUUUUUAGCAUUGGUCAAAUGCGCGUUUCCAGAAGCUAACUAAAUGCAGCUUUCAAGUUUUCCACUGUCAACUCGAACUUAUUAGCAUUGUCAAAUGUAAAUCCAAUCACGCAGUUAGACUAUUUGUGUUGUGUUUAAUGUGCAUUCAUUUGUACAGCGGUUUUUUGCAAUUACACAUGUAAUGCUUUGGUCUAUGUACUCAUACUAUGUAUACCCUAGAGGGUAGAAACAAUAGAAAGAAGAGACAAAAGAUAUGAAGAGAAAUUAGUAAUCUUAUCAAAUAGUUCUAACUAGAUUGAUUAGCUUAUUAACUUUCUACUUUUAACUCUUCCACUAAUAAGAUUUCAUGUGUCUUGCGAGCUUCUAGUACUAAUCUGUAUUUCAUAAGGCCAUUAGGUCUGGCUAGUCAAUUUGUUUAUUUGACUAAAUAUAAGCUACUUGAAUAUGUAUGGUGUUAGAGUUUAUAUUAAGAGUGUAAGCGGUUAUAGUUUUAACCGCGAAAUGAGUGGAAACGAACCAAACCAAUCAUAAAAUGUGGCUCGGUUUGGUUUCGCGGUUCGGUUACUUUUUAAGGAACUAUUUAUAUUCGGUUCAUUUCAUGGUUUUAGAAAUUUAGGAAUGAUUGGAAUCAAACCAAACUGCAUACUAAAGAAAUAUAGAUGUUUGAGAAUAAUGUUGUGUUUUGUUUGAAUUCUUCAACUAAUUUUGUGGCUUAAAUAAUCUUGUGUGAAUUGUAAUGUUAUAUAUGUUACUAAAUUGUUAUUAUGUUAGUGUUAUUUGUGUUAUUACUUACUAAAUUGUUAUAUAUAUAUAUAUAUAUAUAUAUAUAUAUAUAUAUGAUACUCACUCUGGUAGUCACAGGUUCUUCUAUUUAGUCAGCAAUGCUUUAGUUGUUUGAGCUCCAUAUGGUCAUAUACAUUAGGAAACUAUUUGAUUGGGGUUAAUGUUCAUUUUCUAUGAGAUUGUCAUCUUCAUGGUUUUUCAUUGUUAUAAUAACAUAUUGGCAGCCUUGUUUUUUAUGGCUAUUUUACUGGUCAUUCUGCUUAUGGUUUUGCAGUGGAUCUCAUGGCAAUUAAAUUGGUAUCUUUAGAAAUUGUAACAACUCUUAGUUUAGAAUCUCACAAUAUCACUUCACAUGCAUAAUUUCCUUCCCAAUUAUUGCUGUUCUGAUAAUGAGUGUCAACUUAAAUAAACGAAAAUAAAAACCUUAAUCAAAGAUUUGAUUACUAGAAGCGACACUUGUUGGGAGAGUCACCCAUACACUCUGAAAGGGACUAGUUCCUUACCCAUAGGGUGAGGGGAUACCUUUGAUAGUACCAAAAAAAUCAAGAAAUAAUAUAUUGUCAACACUAAACAUGUGGGCUCCUCAAACCUGUUAAGUUGUAUUGUACCAAAAAAAUAAUAAAAAACCAAUAAUUCGUAGUUUUGUUAAACAUUUUAGUAUUUUACAAGGAAUCGAGAUUAUCUUUGAACCCUAGAACUAGAAUAAGAGACUUCACCCCAGCCCUAACUAAUCAGAGGACGAAACCACCCAUCUUGCACUUUGCAUCAUAUAUCAGACGCAGACAGUAGCUUUAUCCUUAUUGGCGUCGCCUCUGCAUUCCAUGUGUUGGUGUUCAGUUCAUAUUGAUUGGAAACUUGUUUCAUUUGGUGAGUUGAAGCCUUAUUUAUCAAAAACUGUGAUUUUCACACUGCACAUCUCCUUUUCCUCCUUGUGCCAACUAAAAAACUUGAAAUGACAUUAGAUUUCAAACAAGUAUGGGAAAGUAUAGUAUAGUAUAGAAUUGUGAAUUCUGUUGUCUUAAAUGGGGUUCAUUAGAUUCAGUAUGUUUAAAUAGAAAAGAAAUAAGUAAUGCUAAGGUAAUGAUGUGCAGGAAUAGGAUAGAAAAGAAUAUGAGUUUGCUUUAUGGCUGGUAUUUUAUAAGUAGAUUAGAACAAGUUAUAAGAUAUAAACAUGUCAUAUUUUGGUUCUAUUAGAGGAGGUGGAACCAAAGAGAACAGAAUAUAACAUCUCAUUCCACCAUAUUGUUCUGUGCACCAAAUGCUAGCCAAGUGUGAGCUUUCAUACUAAUGAAUCAUUAGCCUGACCCACCUUGGCACUAUGUUGAUGAUAGGUCUGAGUAUUAAAACAUUGCGACAAGGGUCUGAUAAGUACAACUCUGUUUAUGUAUUAUGUUUUUUCUUUGGCUUUAAAACCUUGACUUGCAUUGUUCCCUUCAUUUAUCAGGGUACGAAGAUCCUAAAAUGAGUGUUGCAGAAAAACCAAAGAAAGUCAGUAGUUCUCAAAUUGUUAAGUUGGACAAGGCAUUGAAAUUGGUAAACUUUUAUCUUUUUUGCAUAUGUUUCUGUAGAUGGAGAAUAGGGUUUAGGAAUUUUGUGUUUGUCCAGUGAAUGGUGAAUUACUUUAUGUCGGAUUGAUGUAUUUGCUAGGUUUGCUGUGAGUGCUGAUGAACAAUAUAAUUUGAUAAGGUGCAUAUUUUCACAACAAAAGAUUUGUUUACAGACUGAAACUUACUCUAGAAAUUGACUUCCUUCAUUCUGAAAGAUUUACACUAUUUGAUUUAUAUUCGUUUGCAAGAAAGUGUUGAUUCAUGUAAAAUAAAGAACUAUUCUAGAAGGCAUCAUUUUUUAUAAAACAAAGCAGCUUUAAAAUCUGUUUGAACUUGGAAUAAAAUGCUAAACUUGCUCCCAACUAUCUCUCAGUGUAUGCUGUUUCAUUCUAUAAUAGGAAUUGUUUCGUUUCCGUAUACUCUAUCUUUCAUUACCGUCUUUCAGUAUUUUAUCAUCCAAUGUUCAGGUUAUUCCCAGAUAGUUUUAUGCAUUGAAUAGUGUUAUUCAACUUGGAUACUACACCGAACUUGUAAACAAAGAAAACGCAAUUGCCAAGGCAUUGCCGCUACACACUAAAUAUCCACAUAGGCUCAUAAGUCAUGACACUAAAUGAUCUUGAUUCUUGAGAGAUUUUCUCAAAUAAAAAUUUAAAUUUUUCAUCUGUUAUGUUGGACCUCAGCUAGAAGCAAAAUAUAGUUUAUUUGGAUCUAGAAUUUAAGUUGGUGUCUUUCUUCCCACCUCAUCCCCCCAGAAGGAAACAAGUAAAAAUCUUCUUACAUCUGAUCCUUUCACAAGCUGAGGGAUGAGGAGAGAACUGUCUUUAAGUUCCCUUAACUUGUGGUUAUUGGUCCUUUUUUGGAAUAAACAAAGAUCGAUUUUUCAAAUUACCGUCAAAUUUUCAGUGCUGCUGGUAGUUACCUGUUAACCAUUCUGUUGGUAGGCUGAGAUAUGGGUAAAUAAUAUGAGCCAAGAUGCAGAUGAUGGAACAACAUAUGCUGAUAUAGAGGGUCGACCUUCUAGGUCAGUACAACUAAUCACAUUAAACCGUUGACUAUUUUAACUUCUACAUGUUUAUAUAAUGUACUUGUUUGCUUGCUAUGAUAACUAUUUUUACAACAUGUUUUACCAUGACAAAUGUUUCUAGGCUUGGGCUAGGUGCAAAAAUUUCACGCCAAUCCAAAGUUGGGCCUUCAGAUGACCCAGUUGACAGGAAAUUGUAUGCCAAAUUGGGUGCUGAAAAAAGAAAAAGGGCCAAGAUUGCUGAAGAGUCCACCACAGUUGCAAGAGAUGAUUUAGAUGACAGUGAGGACGAUGAACAGGAAGAAAGUAGGACUAGUGCAUUUUCCAAGAGGAAGACGGUUCCUUUGAGAUCGCCUAUAUUGGGAAAUAAGAAACAGAAGUAGAAUUACGAAUGUGAGUUUCUGAAUUCUGAUUAUAUAUUUUGCAUUUUCCUUGCUGGAAUGGUGACUUCAAACAAAUGUAAUACAUUUUCUUAAAAUUCUUAACAGGCCUUUAAUGGAAUGUAGUUGUUUACUUGAGGACUAUGGCCAAAAGUAACUAAUUUAUAUUCUGCCCUUGCUAUAUCUAGCUUACAUUAAUUACUUAAUGUGGGUUAACCCGACUAUCUACAUUAUGGAUAUCUUUCCAACUUCCCUCUCCAGGUCUUAAGGGCCCAUAUUUUAACAUGAAAAUAAAGUAACAAUGUUCAUAGGGAAAUAGUAUGCAGUUUGGCAUAUAUGUUCUUAUUUGCAAGUUGUAACUGAUACUGAUGUCAAUGGAAAAAUGGGUGCCUCUUGUUGGGGGACAUGCAUUGCUGGUUUCUUGUAUGCCUCAAAUUGUCUGGUUUACAGUGUGCUAUUUAAAUUGGUGGCAUGUUGAUAAGAACAGGAUUCUUUUGGUAGAGCUCAUACUGUAUAUUUAUUCCAUUACACAAAACAAACAUGCUCUUAAGUCUAUGUGUAAUGGAACCAAUAUACAAUAGGAGCUCAUGGUUGCUUAUUUGUGGAAUUGUGGUAGUGGAUGAAUAAGGCUAUUUUUUUUUAAGACUUCAGCAAACCAUUUCAAGUUUUCAAUCAGCUAAGUUAGUUCUGGAUCAUGCUACUAAUAUUUUUAAUGCAUGGAAGCCUCUAAAUUUGUUUGAAGGGGAUAAAGCAGCUGGUGGUUGAAUAUGUUAAAUGGGAUUUUCCUUCUGGUUAGUAUAAACUAAAUACAGAUAGUGAGUGGCUUUUGAAGGUAAUUUAGGUGAUGUUGGUUGUGGCUUGUGAGGGGCUCAUUAGACUUGAUAAUGGUAAUUGAGUUCAGGGCUUUAGAUUCCAUACUGAUGUCUAUUCAGCCUUGGAUAUCUUAGUCAAAAAAUAAGGAAUGGUCUAUUUAGAGAGGGAACAUAUAUGUUGUCUCACAAAAGUGUGUCACUCCAUGUGCCACUGCUUGUGUUUGGUUGAAUAAAAUAUAUUUAUGUUAAAAACCAAUCACAAGCAAUGACACAUGAAGUGAUACACAUUCUGGGACAGAAGAUGUUUACCCAUUUAGAGAAGGGAAUAAAUGUGUGGAAUGGCAAGCUAAAUGGAGCUUGACAAAAGAGAUUGGAGAUCAUGCUGUGUUGAUUCGUUGGGGCUUCCAUAUCUGGGCAGUUUUUUCAAUUUUAUUAAGAUUUAAGACUGCUUACAUAUAUUUUCCAAAAUUUCAUUAGGUAGGUGCCUCGUGCACUCUGUCACCGCUAUUCUCUUUUUGUUGACUGUUAGCUCCUUGCAUUCAUGAAAAAAGAACAUUUUGUAUGGUUGAGUAUUUUACUGAGGGUUAGACUUUUUCUCGGGAGAUUAAUUAUAAACACAAUUUUUAGCGUGGAAUACAUGAAUUGAGAUUUGAACUUGGGUCUUCAAUUUUUGUGUGGAAAGGCAUUUAGUGUGUUUGCUUCUUGUUUUUAGCAUUGGUCAAAUGCGCGUUUCCAGAAGCUAACUAAAUGCAGCUUUCAAGUUUUCCACUGUCAACUCGAACUUAUUAGCAUUGUCAAAUGUAAAUCCAAUCACGCAGUUAGACUAUUUGUGUUGUGUUUAAUGUGCAUUCAUUUGUACAGCGGUUUUUUGCAAUUACACAUGUAAUGCUUUGGUCUAUGUACUCAUACUAUGUAUACCCUAGAGGGUAGAAACAAUAGAAAGAAGAGACAAAAGAUAUGAAGAGAAAUUAGUAAUCUUAUCAAAUAGUUCUAACUAGAUUGAUUAGCUUAUUAACUUUCUACUUUUAACUCUUCCACUAAUAAGAUUUCAUGUGUCUUGCGAGCUUCUAGUACUAAUCUGUAUUUCAUAAGGCCAUUAGGUCUGGCUAGUCAAUUUGUUUAUUUGACUAAAUAUAAGCUACUUGAAUAUGUAUGGUGUUAGAGUUUAUAUUAAGAGUGUAAGCGGUUAUAGUUUUAACCGCGAAAUGAGUGGAAACGAACCAAACCAAUCAUAAAAUGUGGCUCGGUUUGGUUUCGCGGUUCGGUUACUUUUUAAGGAACUAUUUAUAUUCGGUUCAUUUCAUGGUUUUAGAAAUUUAGGAAUGAUUGGAAUCAAACCAAACUGCAUACUAAAGAAAUAUAGAUGUUUGAGAAUAAUGUUGUGUUUUGUUUGAAUUCUUCAACUAAUUUUGUGGCUUAAAUAAUCUUGUGUGAAUUGUAAUGUUAUAUAUGUUACUAAAUUGUUAUUAUGUUAGUGUUAUUUGUGUUAUUACUUACUAAAUUGUNUAUAAUAAUUUCCCUAUUGAUUUGUAACAUAUAUUUUAACUGGUGGCAUUGAAAUUAAGAGUAACUAUAGUAAAAUAGUUAUAUAUUUAUUAAUUGUAAUGUUAUAUAUAUAUAUAUAUAUUAUUAAUUGUUAUAUAUGUUACUAAAUUAUUAGUUACGUUGUUAAUUGAGAAUUGCAUUGUUUUAUAUAUUAUUAAUUGCAAAUUAUAUUAUUUCACUUUUUUCUUCCUAAAUUACAUAAUUAUUAUUAUGUCACUAAUGAGCAAUUACAAAUUUCAAUUCUUUUAUUUAUAAUAUUAGUAUUUUUUGUUUUAUAGACGAACAAUGAAUUUUGUAAUAUAUUUUGAACUUUCAAUUGAUGCAAAAAAAACAAAAAAAACCAUGAAAAUCGUGGAACCGAACCAAACCAUUCAAGAACGGUUCAGUUUGGUUCUUGCAAUAAUAUUUGUUGUUAAUUGAAAUAAACUGAACCAUGUCUUUGUGUUCGAUUUGGUCAUUGAAUUGCACCAAAAACUGAAAUUUUUUAAGAGAACAAAUGUGUUGCGUUUCAUAAGUUAUGUGAAAUGAUGAAUGAUUUAUUUACACUAAGUUUAUUUCAUUUUGUACAUAUUAACUAGAUUCUUAAUUAAUCUUACCAAAAUAGUCUAUUUCAAUCAACUAACUUAUCAAAACUUAGUACUUCACUCUUUUAUAAGCUUCCGGCCAGUGUUAUUAGUGGGAUACUAGUUACAAACUAGUCAAAGAACUGAUAUAUGGCGUUAUAUUAAUUUAACAAAGUGAUUCAUUAAUUAAAUUAUACAAUUAUAUAUAUAUAAUAAAUUUAUAAAUAUAAGUAUUAUUAUUAAUAUAGGGUGAAUUUUGUGUAAUGAAAAGUUGUUGUUUAGUCAUCAUGAGAUCAUAAAUUCAAAUAUUAAAAAUAGUCUCUUAGCUUGCAAGAUAAGAUUGUAUAUAUAUACUUUCUUCGUAGGGCCUUCUGUAUUAAAUCACAUUUUUAAAUAUUAUUAUAAGAAAAAUGUACACACUAACAUAUAAGAAUUGUAUGCACUCUCAGUGUAUUAUUUAUCAUUUAUAUUUAAUUAUUAUUGAUUUUACAUAAAAUAUAAAAAGUAAUACAAAUCAAUAAUAAAUAAUGUAUGAACUGUGUAUAUACCUUUACACUAACAGAACAUAUAUAUUACAUUCUAUUAUUAUUAGCAAUAUAAAACCCAAUUAUUGUAAAAUACAAUGACCGAUCAUAUUACAAAUAACAAAAAAGUUCAAUGUUUGUUUCAUGAGCAAUUCUGCUGGACCACAAAGUGUACCACUUUAUGCGUCACUACUUGUGAUUGGUAGAUAAAAUAUAUUUAAAUUAAAAUUUUAAUAGUUAAUUAUUUUUUUGAUCAAUCACAAGCAAUGACACGUGGAGUAACACACUGUUUUGGGACAGCAAAUGUCCACCUGUUUGUAUCCGUGAUGUUUUGUUUUAAAAAUAUGAAUUUUUUUCUUCCACAAACUAAUUUUGACUAGUAUGGUACAUGCAUUUAGCUUAUAUUUUAUGGUUUUGAUAAGUUUAAUUGAAUAUGUAGUAUAAUUAUUAUAUUAGAUACAUGUAUAAGAGUCGUUUCAACAAUUUUCACUUAAAUUAUCUCAUACGUGACUGAUAAUCACAUUUAAGUUGUAAAUUACUAUGAUAUUCCCUGAAUUUUAGUGAAAUUACAUAAAUUAUAACUCAUUUUUUAUAUCUACAAAAACCUAUGAUUUUUUAUAAUACGUUACACUGACCAACCUUAUAUGAGAAAUGAAUAUAAUUUUUAAACAAAAAGAUGAUAAGUGUAAUUAAGUUAAACAAAGUAUAAUAUAUUGUAUAAACAAAUACAAAUAAUAUACGACUCAAUAUAUUUUCAUUAUUUUUUGUUCAUUACAAUAUUAUAUAAAAAUGAUUUAAAAAAUAUAUUCUUAGAAUUAUUAAUGUAUUAUGUAAAGAAUAAAAAAUAAUGAAAAUGUAUUGGUAUACUAUUUGAAUUUGUCUCCACAAUAUAUUAUAUUUUGUUCAACUUUAUUACACUUAUCAUCAUUUUUGUGUAAAAGAUGACACUUAUUUCACAUGCAAGAGUAGGUAGUCAGUGUAAUGUACGUAUAGAAAUAAGAGGGUUUUUGUAGGUGUAACAAAUGAAAAGUAAUUUAUGUAAUUUCAAUAAAAAUUAUAAAAUGUUGGUGUAAGUUACUUCUUUAAGCUAUAUAUGGUUAGAGUGAAAAGUGAAAGAAUGAAAGAAAAAAUAGAUUUUUUCUAUAAUUUGGUGGAAUUCAAUAGAGUGAAUAAAAAAAUGGUUGUUGUCAUGCUUUACGUUUUAUCUUCCGAUAUUAAGAGAAAAAUUCAAGUGGAGAAAAUUAACAAUGGUUUUUUUUUGUCAAUAACUCCAUAUACAUUUAAAAACUUCCUAUUUUAUAUUAGUCACACAUAUAAAUGUCACUAAUUUCGUAAACCUUAAAAAAAAAUACAUACAUAUCAAUAUCAUUAUUAAUAAUUAGAUUAUUUUCUCUUACCUUUCUUUCCAUAAAAACAACACAUCUUUUAUGCAUUUUACUCUCAACAUUUCUUUCCCUAUCUUUUAUUUUAUAAACCAAACACAAUAUUAAGCUACCCACUAACUUAUAAACAUUCAAUUUUCUUAUAAUUUUUCUGUGUCAAACAAUUCAAGCAUUGUAAGUUUUUGACUAACUUGGCAAAUAAAUUGUACUAAACAUAAUUUAAGCAUCUAACGCACUGAAAAACAACAGAUUUUAUUUCUCAAUGCUCUUUUAUCUUUCUCUUAUCUCUUUAUUAUCAUCCCUCAACUAAAAAUCUUCAUUCGAUAUAAUCAUUAUUUUACUUUUGUUUGGAAGAUUACUUUAUUUGUUUUUACUGUGUUUAAGAAAUAUUGUUAGAAGGCCAUGUGUUUGCUGUCUUUGAUUCCUUGCUGAACGGUCAAGCUUACAGUAUGGAAUUGCACUCUUCGAGAUCAAACUUUUAUCUAUUACCACGCCCACCUCUAUCAAAAUAUUAUUAUCUCUUUCGGUACUUCUGUCUCUCCUUUGGAACUUUGUUCACUGUCUAUAUUUAGAAAAAAAUGUGUACAUUUAUAUUGUAUGAGUUUUAUAUAUUGUUAUUGUAUUAUUCAUCAUUUAUAUUUAAUUAUUAUUCACUUUUCAAAAAAAUAAAUAAUAUAAAUGAAUGAUGUAUUGUUGUGUUUAAAUCUUUAUACGAAAAGUAUAUAGAUUUUACACUAUUCUAUAUUUUAAGGAAAAUAAUAUAUAUUCCAAAAUAAUAUUUAUUAAUAAUUAAUUUGUAAAUAAUAUAUGUCACUCUCUUAUGAUGUAAGAUGAUUUGUUGGAUGAUAUAUCCGUCCUCAUAUUUUAAUUAUGUGAACCCACUUCAACUUCACGAUGUUAUGCAUCCAUAACUCAAAACAAAUUAUAUAUGAAAAGGAGCAAAAUAUCCUAUAUUAUGACUUUUUAGUCUGUCGCAGUUAAUUACUUAUUCAUUAUUAUAUCUUUUAACAAUUUUUUUGGGUACAAAAGAAUUCUAUAAACAUUAAAGUAUCCUGUGUAAUAAUACUAUUUCUGAGAAAUUCCAUAUAUGAAACUUGGGCGUUAGAUUUUACUCCUCUUCGGCUCUUCACAAACUUUUUAGAAAGAAAUAUAUAACCCACAAGACAAGGGUUGCUGUCCUUCCACAGGGCGCAAGUUGCAAACUCAAUGUAAUUAUAUUUGUCUAUCAUGUACAGUAACUAUGCAAUUUUCUUUUGCAGGCCCUUUUAUAUUUAGACAAAUUAUAAAGUUAAUACGGUUCUCCUGAUUGAAUAUGAAUCAUUAAAACAAUUUUUUUGUGCUAUACCAUAUGUCACAUUGACACUUAUGUGGAUCACCAUGUCCAUGUGAUACUUAUAUAUUAAGUGAUUAUUAUUUCAUCAUAAUAUAUAUGCACUAAUAGUAAUUUUUUUUAUAAUCUAUCAAUUAUCUAUGAUUUAUGUUUUAAUCAUUAUUGACUCUUAAAUAAAAGUUAAUAUAAAUAAAUGUUGGAUGAUAGAUUGAUUUGUGUAAAAAACUAAAAAUUCAUAUACCAAAAGUGUGUAUAUAUAUUAAUAUUUUAUCAUUUUUCAUAAUUUUUUUUGCAUGAAUGGAAGUCUAAAAUGAAUCUAUCUGUUGUUAAAAGAUUUAAAAAAAAGCUAUGCCGACCAAAAUUAUUACUGAGUGAAGUUGCACAUUAGGUCGCUUUUUAAGACAAUUUCAAAUAUUACUAAAAUUGUGCAAGUAGAUAAUUAAUCAUGUUAUCAAUAGAAUAAAAUAGUCUAAUCCUGUUGGGGAAAAUGAAGAAGAAUGAAUAUGCAGAAGGUGAGAGUGAAUGAAUGAUAGAGGAGAGGAAUGAAUCACAAUGUAUAUUACUUACCUUGAGUGUUAGAGAGUACAUACUAUUUAUAGAAACCAGUUAGUAACAGAAAAAAACUAACUUUCUGUUUAUAGUAAGAAUUACAAAAAUGCUUAACACUCCCCCUUAAUUCAUAUCUAUUACAAGCACACAACAUUCAGUAACUUCCUAAGCUCUCUAAACCUCUCUGUUUUCAAGGACUUAGUCAUUAUGUCUGCAAUUUGCAAUUCAGUUUUGCAAUGCUUCAAGCCAAUCUUCCCCUUUUCCACUUGAUCCCUUAGAAAGUGAUACUUCCUCUCAAUGUGUUUGCUUCUUCCGUGUGCCACUGGAUUUUUAGCAAGAUUUAUGGCAGAUUUGUUGUCUACCCUCAGCUCUAUUGCUCCUUCGAAACCAAUGCUCCAUUCAUCAAGCAAUGAAAUUAGCCACAAUGCUUGGCACGCUGCAUGACAUGCUGAUAUAUAUUCUGCUUCACAUGUUGAUAGAGCCACGACUUCUUGCUUUUUGGAGCACCAUGAGAUUGGUGAGUUACCAAGUAGGAAAACAUAUCCCAUAGUGCUUUUCCUUUCCAGCAAAUCUCCACACCAAUCCGAAUCAGAGUAUGCCAAUAUCUGUGAAUUACCCUUCUGAGAUUGGUUGGAGAGCAAUACUCCAAAGCUGCUUGUGCCUUUUAGAUACCUUAGUAUCCGUUUAGCUGCAGUUAAGUGAGAUUUCCUAGGGUUGCUCAUGAACCUGCUUAUCAAACCAACACUGUAAGUAAUUUCUGGCUUGGUGUUGCAUAUGAAUCUAAGGCAGCCAACCAUUUGCCUGAAUAGAGUGCCAUCUACUUCUGNNNNNNNNNNNNNNNNNNNNNNNNNNNNNNNNNNNNNNNNNNNNNNNNNNNNNNNNNNNNNNNNNNNNNNNNNNNNNNNNNNNNNNNNNNNNNNNNNNNNAAGUAGAUCCCAUUUGAUGAUGUAGGAGAAGAGAAGAUUUGUUGAUGAGUUGAUGAUAUGGAACAGAGGAAUGAAGAGAAGAUAGAAGAAUGAGUGAGUCCCUUUUGGAUCUUGUUAGUGCUCUUGAUACCAGUUUGUUGGGGAAAAUGAAGAAGAAUGAAUAUGCAGAAGCAGUGGCGGAUCUUGAACAAAAUUUUAGAGGGGGCAAUAAUAUUUAAUUAUAAUUAAUUAAAUAAAUAGAAAAAAUUUCAAAUUUAAAUGGCUAACGAUACCAAAAAUAAAAUAUUGUCAUUGACAUAUUAACUUAAUCUUAUUGCUCAUUAAAAGUUACACGAUAGAAAUUUUGGACAAAAUAUAUAUAUUAUCAAUGCAUACAUAAUCUCUUUCAUCAAGUGUAAAAUCAUUAUGAAGUCAUAUUAUUAUGAGCAGCCACCAACAUCUAAACAUGCAAGGGAACUUGAUUCAUUAUAUAUAAUUUUUUGAAUGACUACACAAGUUGCACUAUAUUUAUUUAUCUAGCCACAAAUUAAAGAAAUAUAUGAGCUCCCACUAGUAUUUCGAUAAAGACAUUAUUUGGGUGUAGGUAAAAAAAGUAUAUCUACUCCAGAAAAUUUGUAUUUCUAUGUGUCACAUUUUAUAAUUUGAAAGUUUAAUAAUAAAAUAUCUUUUUGGCCAAACGUACUAAGUGACACAUGAAAUAACACACAUUCUAUAAGACAACAAAUAUGUUUCAAUAGAGUAAAAAGUAAAAAAGUAUUUUAAGAAAAAAAAAAAAAUCCAGGGGGGGCAGCUGCCCCCACCUGUACCUUCCAUGCUCCGCCCAUGUGCAGAAGGUGAGAGUGAAUGAAUGAUAGAGGAGAGGAAUGAAUCACAAUGUAUAUUACUUGCCUUGAGUUUUAGAGAGUACAUACUAUUUAUAGAAACCAGUUAGUAACAGAAAAAAACUAACUUUCUGUUUAUAGUAAGAAUUACAAAAAUGCUUAACACAUAUAUCCAGUCUUUUUGGAUUUUUUCCAAUGCUUAUUCUUCCCGUUAUCUUUCUCUCUUCUCUGUCCACUCGUAACCAGUUUUAUCUGGCAAAUAUACAUUCUUUUUAUUUCUUUUUUUUUUUAUAAAUUAUAUCAUAUGAUUCUGUUUUUAUUCUUUUUUUAAUAAAUAAUAGUAAGGAGUUAAACACUACCUAUGCUUCUGUUUUGUGUUUUAAUAUAUUGAGAUUAAUGAAAACAAUAAUAAUUACCGUAGUAAAAUAAUGAAAUAACAAAUGUCCUUUUUGGUGAAAUGUAUAUUUAUACAAAUAUAUAAAUGAAAAACAUAAAAUUUCAACUUUUAUAUUUUGCUGUAAAUAUUAUUUAAUUUCUAUAUACAAAAAAACAUAAUCCUAAGUAACCACCACCAACCAUUAACAUUCAUCUCAUCUUAAAUUGAACAUUAUAAAAAGACAAAAAAAAAUUAUACAUUAUUCAAUUAUUGAAUUGAUCAUAAAUCGUACUCAAGGAUAAAUCCAAAAACAUACUGCAUGAAAGAGUAGGAUAGAUAAAGAGGUGCCAAAUAUACAUGUCUCUAAUAAAUAUUUAACAAUAGAUUAUUUUUUAUAAAAAUAUUAUUAAUAUAACAAAAUAUAUACAAAGAGAGGCCAACCACAUGACAUGGAAUUUCUUUAGCAUAUUGAGUCUUAGAUCUAUCAUGGGCACAUUUAGGAUAUUGUACUCACUAAUAGUGUUUGCCCAUUCAAAUCAUAAAAAUAGUUAAGGGAUUAUAUGACAAAGUAAAGGGGUUCGAUUCCUGUAAGUAACAUUUAUUAAGAGUAACAGUUAUAUUCCCCAAAAGAGAUUAGUUAUUUACCAAAAAGGGUAAGAGAAUCCCUUGGUAGUACCCAAAAUAAUCAAUAUUUACAAAGGUGUUCUAUGAAACCCACUCUAAUAAUCAAACAAAACUACAUUGACUUACUAAUAAUCCUCUUCAUUCCUUUCCCAUCACAAACUAUGUUUUAAAUAUACCAAUGACUAUGUAGUUACAUUAUCAUCUGCUCCAAAAGGCUCACAUCAUUAAUUUGGCUAAUUGUUCCCUUUGUUUCUGUAAUUUGUCACAUUGAAAUAUUCAGGAAGGUAUCAUUAAAUUUGCUGCUUUCAGAAUCAAUUAUUGAUGCAUGUAAAAAGAUACACAAUCCAAGAUAUAUCAAGUUCCAGAACUCAUGCUCAUAAAGAACAGUUAAGAACACUGGAAUUUACAGCAGUAACUCACAAAAACACCCUUCAGCCUUGAGAUUCAGUAUUAUUAGAGGUACAUUCUUGAGGCAACAUGGGCUUUAAGAUUUGCACAUGAUAUAUAAGUAUAGUGAAGCAAUUCACUAAAAGCAAAAUCUAAUACAUUUUAGGAAGAUAACUGCUUAACAACUUCAAUUUGCCCGGUCUCUGAGCACUUCAAGAUCCAUUUCUGUGGGAUCAGUAGCCUGGAUUUCAUAGUGAACACCAUCUAGCUGACGUAUAAACCUGUCUUUAGAUGUGGCGUAGAGCAUCUUGGCACGGAUGCGAGAUGUUGAAGGAGACCUAACCGAUAUCAUGCAGUGAAAGAAUUCUAGUUAUAUCAGUGGCAGAUUCAUAACAAAUGUAUAUAUGAAUUAAGACUACACACAAUGAUGAGUAUGAAAGCACAUUAAAAGCUACUAUAAAAAAAACUCCAACUUGUCAAUAAGGCACAGGACUGAAAAAAUGCAGCACUCACAAUCACAACAGAAAGAGGAGGAGGUCUAAUUCCAACUGAGAUAUUUAAACCUAAUACAGAAAAUGAUAAUGUGAUAGCUAAGAUACAGUUCAAACAAAAUAUAGAAAAUUAAUGGUCAAAGUAAUCCAUCAAACUAUAAGCAAAACCUUUAAAAUCAUAAAAUGGGUCAUCUAUUAUUUUCUUUCAGUUGCUUUGUACUCAAAGGUACAAAAUGCAACUAUUAGCCAAUGCCCUAGAUUAGAUUCUGCACGAGCCUCAAGUGUCAUGGACAAGGUCCAACAAACAUGAAGAUAAAGUACAAUACCAAUAGUGAGGUUUUGAAUUCUGGAGAGAAAGUAAACUAUAUCAAGGAUGUGCAAGUUUAGUUGAAGUAUAGAUGAACAAUGGACAAGACCUUCUUUCCCUUCAUGAGAUCAUCAUCUUAUCUGAAGAUACUAAAAUAAUUAUCUGCUAGUCUCUAGAAGACGAUACUUAUGGAAAUUUUGUAACUACAUAAUGCACUGGCAACAAAAUAGUAAUGUGCAAAUUGCUUAAUCUCAUCAAAAUUUGAUUUUCUUCUUUAAGAUAAGAUUUUUAACAAGAGGAUGAGCACUAGCAUAACAGUAAAGUUGUUCUCUUGUGACAUGAAGGUCACAGGUUUAAGUCAUGGAAAAAACCUUUCUACUUGCAGGAAACAAGUUUCUGGUUUCAGCCAAGGAAGCACUAGACAGUAUCCUCGUACAUUGGACUGUUUUUUUUUAGAUUUCAGCAAAAAAGGUUAGAAUCCCUGUCAGAACAAUUAAAUUCUCUAAAAUAUCAAUGUUAAAGUUAAAACUAGACAAAUUAACCACCCCAAAAAAUGGAAAAGAAAAUUACGCCUAACAGUUAGGCCAUUCAAGAAGCUUACUCAUGUAUGAUUCAAUCUAUUGAAGCAUGAAGAUGUUUGUGUUGUUUUAAUCACGUCAGAUUUUUUCAUACUAACAUAAGCAUUUGAAGACUGUAAAAUCUUAUCUGAAAUUUAAAUGCUCUGUUUGCCCUUAAAAUGUGACUGACAGAAUGCCCCGGUACAAAUUGAUUUCUGACAGCAGCAAACAGAUUAGAGAUGUGGUAAAAGGGAGAAUGGUACCAAAAAGCUACAAGUUUCUAGAUUCGCUAGAAUAUAAAGCUUAAUAAAUGAGUCAGCCUAGUGCAUGAGGCUCUCACCUAGUGGGGUAUGGGAUAGGUAGAUGCGCGCAGCCUUAACCUUGCAAGCGGAGAGGCCAAGAUUUGAACCUGUGACCUCAUCGUCAUAAGCCGCAACCUUACCAUUGUGCCAAGUUCACCCUCUAAUAGAAAGCUCAAUCAAUGUAAAAGAAAUUGCAUCUAAACAAAAACACGAAAUUCAGCCCAAAAUAAUGAAACAAUAAACAUAUGGUGCCAUGAAUAGAUAACAUGCAAAAUAUACACUAAAGGCAAAAGCAAGUAGCGUCAUGGCAUGUUGAGUUAGAGAAAUUCAAGUAACGGCGUAGUGCAUAAAUCAUAUGUGCUGCAAGAUUUCCCUUAUUGCACAUCAUGGACCACAUUUUACAAACAUCACUAUCUACUUUGUUAGUCAGAGCAACAAUGCUGCUCUUGAAGACAAAUACACAUGAAUAUUAAAGAAAGAGGUGGAAUAAACUAACCAUGCAAUGAAAAAGAUUUUACUCUUUUGACAGUUCUCAGAAGUGACAAAAUCAAAGUCGAAGACAGCAUAUCUGCAAUCGUUCUGAGGCAAAGAUGCAGCAAAAUCAUCAUAGCUCUCAGAUGGAACACCGGUCUUCUCAACCACAACCUCCCUUUUACUUUCAUCAAUCUUAAAGAUCACAUAUCGAUAAACCUUCUUUAGUUUCAAGUCCAUGAAUGUAUUUUGGCUGUGAUCAGCAACACCCAUUCCUGAUGAAGCAUUUGGCUGCAAACCAAAUGUAGCUGGGUCAACAAAGUGAUUUUUAAACAAAGAAAUCUCUAGUGCCUGUCAUUGAGAGAAAUUCUUGGUCUCUUGGGAUGAAAUUUCCUAACUUUUUACACCGGAAAAUCAUUUUCCUAAAUAGUGUAAAGUGAUGUUAAUAAGGGCACUAUUAGUUUCAGGAGAAAUUAGACUAACCUCUGUCAAAAUUUAACUUAAUUACAUCAAGCUGCAGUUUUUAUAUGAAAAUUUACUCCGAUCCACACUUGAGUUUAUAUUAUUACAUUUACAAAGUUGAGAUUUAUGCUAUCAUUACAUUUACACCCCCUUCAGCCUAAUAUCAAGUGAGAUCAGUAUAAUUAUGAAACCACAUAUAGGUACAAAAAACAACAACUUAUCCUUGAUCCCAAUAAGUGGAAGUUGGCUACAUGGAUCGAACUACCCGAUAAUGCUAAUCAUUUUCAUUUAUCUCUAAUUUUUUACUAAUGAUUUCACCUACAUUUUUUCUUGACCUCCCUCUUCCGAUAGAAAUUGGACAAACCUUCCUGUUUGAUCUAUUCUUCUUAACGAGACUUCCAAAAGUCCCCUCCACACGUAUUUCCAAAACACGGAAGAAGCGACUCUACCUUCUUUUCUACACCGAUUACAAAUAUAUAACUACAGACAUGACAAAAAUAUAACCUCGAGUGAAAUCAGUAGCAAUUUGUAAAGCUAAGGUUUAAAUGAUGGAGCAUAGAAACCAAAAGCACCACAUCUGAAAAAUAUGAUUCACCAAUCAUGACCCAGAAAAAUAUGGGAUUGGAAAGUAAAAUGGUGAUUCAAAGUUGAAAGCUUUUAUUUGUCUGGAAUAAAAAGAAAUUAGAGGAAUUUGAUUAAAGUAAGUGGGAAGUAGCAGAAGAUGAGAUUUGAAGUUGAUAAUCUUACACGGUUGAGCCAUCGGAAAGACAUGACAGGCAGAGACUACAGUAGAAAAGAGACAGAGAGAGGCGGCGAACAGUUGGUAACUUCGAUUUACUCAAAGAGGCAAAGCAAGAACUUUCGAUUCAACUAUAUAUAUAUAUAGUAAAUUAGAGUGACACUUUGGUGAAAUUAUUCACUCCAUUUUUUUUAUAAAUAUUGAUUACGUGCAUGAGGAAUAAACAUGAUCUAUAAAAUAAAAAAGAUGAUAAAGUGUAAUUAAGUUAAACAAAAUAUUAUAUAUUGUAGAGAAAAAUUCAAAUAAUAUAUAAUUCAAAACAUUUCCAUUAUUUUUUGUUUAUUAUAAGAUGCAUUAAUAAUUAUAAGAUAUAUUGUUUACAUCACUCUUAUAUUGUAUUGUAAUGAACAACAAAUAAUGAAAAUAUACUCACAUACUAUUUAUACUUCUAUCUAUAAUAUAUUAUAUUUUGUUUAACUUAAUUACACUUAUUACCUUUUUUUAUUUAAAAAUCAUACUCAUUUCUCACAGAUGAGUAGUUAGUGUUAUGUAUAUAUAAAAAUUAGAGGUUUUUUGUUUGUGUAAAAAAUAGAAGGAUAAUUUAGUGUUUAAGAUGUUCUUUAGAAUUGAGCAGGGAUGGUCAGUAUCGAACGUCAGUAGAAUGGAGAUGAUCAGAAGUCUUGGUCGGAAUAUUGUCUAGACUCGUCGGGGGAGGUACCUGAAAAGGUUCUCCGACGAUCAAGUCAAUAUAGAGUCUUAGAGAGUGAAUGAGAAUAAGAGAGAAGUUAGAACAAUAGCAAUAAGUGCAAGCAAUAAAUGAGAAUUAAUUAUACUUUUUAUGUGGAAUCCUCUAUUUAUAGGGUUUUGGGGCUGCUGAUAUGAAAUCUGGCCAUUGGUUAGUACAUGGUAGGUAAAAUGGAAUGUGCAAGUGGCGUGGCAGGUGGAAUGUCAGUUUGCAUUAAAGGUGAGCCAGUGGCGCAUUGAAGAUGAAGUUAGAGAUGCAUUAAAUAAUAGACUAGAAGCAUUAAUGGCACGUCAUAAGCAUUUAUGACACUUAUAGUGGGUAUUACCUACCUUAAGCGGGUGAGAGAGGUAUACAUAGCUUAGGUCAAAUGUCUGGGGUGGGUUAGAAACAACUUAGAUUUAUCCAGGGUGGAACAGUUGCUUCCAGUCUAUCAGGUCCGGCAGAAGUGGUCGGGCUGGUAGACUCAGGAUGUUCCGAUCUGGUGAUUUUGGGUAGCAUCUAGGUGUAGGGGUAGGUCAUGUCGAGCUCGCUUGAUACAUGAAUCCGGUUGUCAGUCCUUUAUCUUUUUCAAAGCUUCUAAUUCUCAGUAACUCGGUAAUUCCUUUCUCUCUUUUCCUUUUAGGCAUAAGUUUUUCCUGUUAUACUAAUGUUGAGCGGAGACUCUAGCCUUGACAAGGUGGAGAUCUUGUCCAGACCUGCACCUGUUUUUAUUAACGUCGCCCCUUGUCGCAGUCAACAAGCUCAGCUUGCUUCCAUUCUGGGUAGUAGUUGGUCCCUAUGGAGGCGACCGAAGCAAUUAUCCCUGCCGGCCUUAUUACGUAAUCUGAGAAAGAAGAAGGCCGAAAGUGAGGUAACCCUGAUGGACUAGGCAGCUCUCUUAGAGAAGUAGCAUCUGGUCUUGAAUAAUAUGUCCAGUUUGGAGUCUAACACUUCUUCUAAUGACAUGUAUAUUAUUGGGGGCUCUCAAAGUUAUGGAGCGGUCUUGUAUCCUUCGCUUGUUUUUCUAGAUGUUCCGAGUGACCCAUAGCACGAACAAAGACCAAGCUAGGGCUGGGCGCCAAGGGUGGACAACUCUUCAAUCUCGGAAUGGUCGCGCUCUUUCCCUUCCCUUCGAAGGGUCAGUAAAGAAUUGGAAGGGUGGCUUCUUCAGCGUGGAAGCUCGAGGGACACGCCAUACUUGGGCGUAUGGUCCCGACUACCUCCCCUCUUCCCCUUUUCUUGGAAUGGGGAAAUCCAUCAAAAGUCCACCGACUCCUUCGCUUUCGCAUAUGAACAGUUGGACGAUCGAGAGAAAUGGCGGAACAAGGACAAGUCGCCUGCCAUUCCACCUACCACGCCGCCUGCACAUUCCACCUGCCCCCGACAAGUCAACAAGCGCAGACCUGAAGGAGGAACAAAGACAACCCGACAUAUCCCCAUUGUACCUACCAUGUACUAACCAAUGGCCAGAUGUCAUAUCAGCAGCCCCAAAAUCUUAUAAAUAGAUGAUUCCACACAUGGAGUAUAAUUAUUUUCAUUCCUUCAUUUAUUGCUUGCACUUAUUGUUAUUGCUCUAACUUCUCUCAUAUUUACUCCCAUUCCCUCUUUAAGACUCUAUACUGACUUGAUCAUCGGAGAAUAUUUUCAGGUAACUCCCCCGGCGGAUCCAAACAACAUUCCGACUAAGACUUAUGAUCAUCUCCAUUCUAUCGGGCGUUUGAUACCGACCAUCCCCAUUCAAUACUAAAGAACAUUAGUGUUUAAGAUUAUGAGUGUCUUAACGUCAUGGAUUUUCCAUUUUAUAUACUCCUUUAUUUUAAUAUUGAUAAAUUCUCAAAAUACAACGAUAAAUUUUUUCAAACAAAUAAAAUAAUACUUUUUGAAUAAUCAUCCAUCAUUUUUUAUAUUUUUUUUUGUUCAUUUUAGUUUUCCAUUUCAUCCCCUAAUUAAAUUGUUUUGUUAAGUUUAUUUUGUUCAUUUUAGUUUUCCAUGUCAUCUCCUAAUUGUUUUAUAUUAAAUUAAGUUUAUUUUGAUUUAACCAUGUGCAACCAAAAUUUUAACAUAGCUAAGAAGGACUAUGUGCAAGAGGAAGAGAGAGUGCAGAGAGAUAAGACUGAAAGUACUCACUUAGUUAUGACCUCUCAAAAUAAGAAAAGAAAGAACAAUAAGGAUGUUGCGAAAGGGCUAUUUGUGUUUUCCUCAGAGAAUGUGGAAUUGUUCUACAAUACAUUAUUCCAUGCAAACCUAGCAUGAAGGGUGUUGUUGAGUGAUUAAACUGAACUCUUAAGGAUAUAGUGAGAAGUAUGAUUAGUCAUUCUUCCUUGGUAGAGUCUAUUUGGGGGAAAGCUUUAAAGACUGUAGUUUACAUCCUUAAUAGCAUGCCAAGUAAAGCAGUUAACAAAACCUCAUAUGAUUUUUGGACUGAUAAAAGACCAAGCUUAAAACACUUGCAUUUUGGGUUGUCCAGCUGAGGCACGACCUUAUAGGCUGCAUGAAAGAAAAGUGGACUAAAGAAUAGUUAGCGGUUAUUUUGUUUGCUAUGCUGAACACUCUCGAGACUAUAAAUUUUAUGAUCCCACUUCACGACUUUUUUUAGACGAGAAAUGCAAGAUUUCUUGAGGAAGUUGAAUUUGGGAGGAAGAGAACAUAAAGAAUGUUGUCUUUGAGAAAAAACCUACCACUAAUGGUGAGCAAGUUCUUGUGCCUAUUACCAUUCAAGGAACAACUUCGGUAAUAGAAGAUAAUAUUCAGAAUAUUGUUCCUAAAAAUAUUCUUGAACAAGACAACAAUGAGGUUCUCCCUCAAUUACCUAUAGAAAAUAUUCAAGAACCUCAAGAAGUAAAAAUGUCAUCAAGUAGAUCCACUAGAAAGGAGAAGUGCAAUUCCUGAUGAUUAUAUUGUAUUUCUUUAAGAACAUGAGGAUGACAUUGGGUUAACAUAAGAUGAUCUAUUGAACUUCUAUCAAGCCAUGAAAAGUUAUAAUUCUCAAAAGUGGAUCGAUGCCAUGAAGGAUGAGAUGAAGUCUAUGCAUAAUAAUGACAUUUAGGAUCUUGUCGAAUUACCUAAAGGUGCGAAACCUGUUGGUUGCAAAUAGAUAUUUAAAACGAAGAAGGAUUCGAAGAAUAAUAUUGACAGAUAUAAAGCUCGUCUUGUUGCUAAAUGCUACACUCGGGAAGAGGACAUUGAUUAUAAAGAAACUUUCACUUCAGUAACUUCGAAUGAUCCUUUUAGAAUAAUAUUGGAACUAGUAGCUCAUUUUGAUUUAGAGCUAUAUCAUAUGGAUGUUAAGACUACGUUUCUAAAUGGUGACAUUAAAGAAACGACCUAUAUGGCGCAACUAGGAAAAUUUGUGUUAGUUGGCUCAAAGUCUAUGGUAUGCAAAUUAAAGAAAUUCAUCUAUGGCCUUAAAUAAGCUUUCCAUCAAUGGAAUCACAAUAUUCAUCAAGCUAUUACCUCGUAUAGUUUUGAGGCAAAUAAAGUUGAUAGUUGCAUGUACCAAAGGUUCAGUGAGAGUAAAUUUAUAAUCUUGAUAUUAUAUGUCAAUGAUAUACUGCUUGUUAGCAGUGAUAUGAGACUAUUGCAUGAGACCAAGAGAUUUCUAACGAAGAAUUUCGAAAUGAAAGAUCUUGGAAAAAUUUCUUUUGUAUUAGGUAUUCACAUACUGAGAGAUCACUCUCAAGGUAUCCUAAGGUUGUUACAAUAAAGCUGUAUAGAUAAAGUCCUAGAUAGAUUUGGCAUGAAAUACAGCAAACCAGUGGAUACCCCUAUAGCUAAGAAAGACAAGUUUAGUCUUAAACAGUGUCCCAAAAAUGACCUUGAAAGAUCCGAUAUGCAAAAGAUUUUUCAUGCAUAUGUAGUAGGAAGUCUAAUGUAUGUUCAAGUUUGUACACGUCCCGACAUAACGUUUGUCGUGGGAGUUUUGAAAGUUAUUUGAGCAAUUUUAUAAUGCAUCAGUGGAAGACAAUCAAACAUGUUAUGCGCUACUUAAAGAAAACAAAUGAUUACAUGUUCAGUUAUUAAAUGUAUGAGAAUUUAGAGAUCAUUGGGUAUUUUGACUCCGAUUUUUGGGUGUCUAGACAAUAGACACUCCACCUCUGGAUAUGUGUUUAUCUUGGUUGAAGGUGCUAUAUCUUGGAAGUCUUCUAAAUAGACGCUCAUAGCUCCUUUAAUCAUGGUUGCGGAUUUCAUGGUUUGUUUUGAAACAUCAGACCAUUGCAUAUGGUUGCGGAAAUUUUGUCACUGGUUUACGUGUGGUUGAUGGUACUAAAAGACCACUGAGAAUUUGUUGUGAUAGUAAGUUUGCGGUUCUUUACUCCAACAAUAAUAUGAGUUCUAUAAAGUCAAAAUUUAUUGAUAUCAAGUUUUUGGUUGUUAAAGAAAGUGUUCAAAAUUGACAAAAUUCCAUAUAACAUAUAGGGACAAAUUUAUGCUAGUUGAUCCAUUGACUAAAGGCUUGGUAUCUAAAGUCUUUCAUCAGCAUAUUUCUCAUAUGAGUAUUGCUCCUUAUGAUACUUUGGUUCAAUGUGAGUCUAUAUGUUUUAUGACUUAUUUUGGACGUUAUAUAUAGUUUUAUGCAUAAUAAAGUCAAUGGUUUAUUGUUCUAUUUUGAAGUUAUAUAUUGUAAUUAUUGUGUUGCAAUUAAGGACUUUGGAUUGAUCUUACUAAAUAAUAAAGAAGGACCAGUUGGAAAUAGAUAUGUUUGAGAUCACAUUGCAUGAAAUUUCCAUGUCACUCAUCCAUAUUUGAUUUUUAUCAUUAGUAUAUUAAUAUGAUAUUCAUCGUGGUCGAGUCACGUUUGAAUGUGAUGAAGGUCGCUGUGGUUCUAUAGUUGAUAUAUGAGAUGAACCAGAUUGUAUUAAGGAGAAGUCUAAAUAUAAAUAGCAUACGGAUGUGCGCAUAAAGAAUAUGUGGUAUAAUUGUUUCAUAAAAAAUAUGAAGCUCAAGUGGAAGAUUAUUAGAAGUUUAUAAUUUCUAAUUAAGGUGGACAUCAUAUAUUUAAUACAAUUAUAUCGACUAUUUAUUUCGGGGUUGCAAAUCAAGUGAUCUAAUUAAUGACAACCUAAAAGACUUCUGAAACUUAUAACGAAUAUAAGUUUAAUGAGUGGAUACCCAAACAGUUGGCCUAUAAGAGAUAAUGGGAACCCUAUAAGUUAACACACAAGGAGCGGUUAUGGUCCCUAAGAUACCAAAUCACAAAUAGUUUUCACAUAUCUCCAUCAGAGAGAAAAUGAAGGUCCCAAAAGGAAUUAAUGAUUUGGUUCAGGAAGAUCAUCAUACCAAAACUCUCUCAAAAGAUAUAUCAAAUGAGUAGAUCGGAGAAUAUGGAUUCAAGGAUUCAGAUAUCAUUUUGUAUCCUUGUUUUAUAUAAUGUGUGAGAAUCAUGAGAUUUAAGAUCAUAUGAUUGAUAUUUCAGCAAUCGUUAGUAAAUAUCUAACAUUUUUUUGCUCCCGAAGAAGUCUCAAAUAUUACCCUAAAGAAUAUCUUGUAAAUGGAGAUGAUAGGGGUGUCAGGAGAUCCAACCAACAUAGUAAUGAUAGUGCGAUUGAGAUAAGAUUUGGUGAUUUAGAGGAGGAGACCAAUGUUGAAGACAAGUACUCUUUCAAUUUGGAUGCAAGGAUUGUUCAUGAAAAAACCAGAGAGGAAUGCCAUGUUGUCAUGUCCUUAUUUCUAUUUAUGUAUUUGUUUAAUGUCUAGUUCAAUUGAAAGGUGUCAAGAAAAGUCUUAAAACAAACCUAAUUCAGUGAAAUAUAAUUGAUUAAAGACAGUAAAAAAACAUGAUUUUUUUUGGACAAAUAAUUUUAUGCUAGGAAGACCUAAGAAGAGAAGGAUCAAAGCAUUAAAUUCAUGAGUUGUAUAAACUUUUUUGGUACUACUAAAUAUAUUUUUUACUGUAUGAUUAAGAAAUUAAUCUCUUAUAGGGUGUGUGGUUGUCACUUCUAAUAAAUGCUGCUAUUGAACCCUUAACAUUUUGGUCUUUCUGAGAAUUUAACGAGAUCUUAUAUCACUAGACCAAUGUAUAAUUGGUAUGAGUCAUAUAAACUACAAACCUUUUAAAAAUAGUAAUUUUUUUAUUUUCUAUUAUUAGUAAAUCAAAUCAUACUUGGUGAUAAUCGCCUAUCAGUUUUCAAAAUUGUGUAGUGUUUAAAAUUAUCUAAAAAAUAAUAUGAGCGAGAUAUUAAAUAAAAGAGAGUGAAUCCACUUAUUUUAGGAGUAGGUUCAAAAUACAUACUAUAUAUAUUUAGUAUAUGAAAAUUUAAUGGGUCAUAUGAACUAUGUUUUUUAACUUACUCGUGGAGUAAUGAAUUCCCUCUUCUUUUAGUACUACCAAAAGUAUCAAUUCGCCAUUUUCUUCUCUAAAUGAAAUAUAACAUUUUCUUAUAUAUAAAAUUAUGAAUUAUAUAAUAAAAAUACUCAUCUUUAACUUAAUUUUAUACAUAUAAAAUCUCAACUAAAAGAAGAUAAUAGUAAACUUAGUCCUCUAAAGAUUACAUUGGCAUUAACUUAGGUUGCCUUUAGUUGGGGAGAGUAUGUAGAGAAAGAAAGUAAAAGUGAUGGACCCAUCAACUUUUAGUUUCUUCUCUCAUGUUAGAAGAAAUGGUAAACAAAGAAAGUUUUUUUGUAUUUAUAACAAUGCAUUAGGGCAACUACAAUGAUUGUUCUUAACAUAAUAAGAAUUUGUUCCCCCAUUGUGCUAUUCUUAUUUUCUGAUUUUUAACAGUUUUUUGUUGUUCUUAGUCAAAGGAAAAUGAGGAAAGAGGUAGAUUUUCUAGAAAAAAUAGAUAUUGUGGGACCCAAAUAAAAAUGAAAUUUUUGUUAUCUAUUGGAGAUGUUCUUAGCUUUAUCAAAUCAUCAUUGUUAUUUAAAAGGGUAAAAUUAUCUUUUUAGCAAAAACACAUUUUCUCCCCUUCUAAUUCUUUCAUAUCAAAGAACUCUUACAAUCAACUCAUUUUUUCUUUCUCUCUAGUCAUACUCUUUCUUUUUAUCUUCUCUCCACUCAUACUCAUCCUAUUUUCUUCUGAAAAAAUGUUACUAAACUAUUCCCUUAAAUAUUAUAUUUUUCACCAAGUUAGUGAUUGAAAGAAAUUGUAAUCAUAUUAAGCCAUAUCUUAUCACAUUAGUUUCUUAAAGAACAUAUAUGUUGGUGGUACCGAAUAAGAUGAGAAAUUGUACAAAUAUUAAUAUAUUUAUCAUAAUUGAAUAAUCUUUACUUGACUUUAACUUAACUAUGACAGUUAUCAUUUUUUUAAAAUCAUUAAUCAAUAUGCAAAGAAUUUUUAUAUAACCUAUAUUAUAAAUAUAUGGCCAAGUUCAUGACCAUCCAAAUAUGAUGUUAUAAAUAUUUUACAAAUUUAUCACUAACUUAGUUUUUCAAAGGUCGUGGUGUCAUGACAUAAUUUUCCAAUAAUUUAUUUUAUUAAACUUGUCCAUUAAAAAUUAGAUUUGGUAACACGUAACACGUUAGCCCUUUAUUAACAGAGAUAUUAACUUCAAAAAAAACCUGUCUCUGAAAAAGUAAUACUUUCAGCUUUUUGAAAUAUAGUCUUUGAAGAUUAAUCUAAUAAUUUUUUAUCCUCUUUAAUACUAGAGGUCAAAUAUUUGAAUUCGGAGCUCAAAUUAUUUUUAUGAUAUACUAGGUCAAAUAUCCGACGAAUGAUAUUACAUAUUCAAUUUUUAUAUAUUAUAUUUUUUUUGUUUAUGAUAAUGUUUAAUUUAAUGUGAGAUAUGUGAUUAAUUAAUGCAUUGGUGGUAGUUGCUUAGGAUUAUAUAGUUUUUUUUGUAAAAAUUAAAUAAUGUUAAGAGGAAUACAAAAAAUAUUACACCAUGAGGGAAGUUAUUUCAAGUUUUGGCUUUAUAUAUAUAUAUUAUAUUUCAAAUUUGCACCGUCCAUUUCCUUUGUUUUUUCAAAACACAUAUCAUAAUCUUUUCUUUUAAAUUUCCUGGAGGGUAAAAAAAGAUGUAAUGAGAUUAAUCUAAUUACAAAUUUAUUUGAGAACCAAGUUGAUGAUUCAUCUUUACAUGCGAAAUUAACCAUAUGGAUCCUCGAAAAACCAAAACUUUGGUUGAAAUGGAUAUGUUCACUUCAAAGGAAAAUAACUCCGUUUCUACACGUUCGUUUUAUAGCGUGUGUUAGGUGAAGACUGUUCUAGUUCCUUUGAGAGCCUCGAAAUCCUUUACCUUUUCAUCAAAUUUGAAUUCUUUCAAUGGAAUUGCUGGUAACUACUCUAACAACAAGCCUCUCUCUCUUUUCUUCUGUCUGUGUAUUGCAAUUUCUAAUUUUUUGCAUUGAAAAAACUUCAGGAGAAGCUGAAGAUGCAGAAGAAAAAACAACCAGACAAUAACGAAGUCGAAGGUGGUCCUGUGUUUUGGUUUGAAACCUCUGUUUCUGUUUCUCGCCGCUUUCAGUUUGAACCACAGGGCCAACUUUCUGUAUGUUCCUCUCUCUCUCUCUGUAUUGAUGUGUAAAUUAUAAUGAUAAAUGGGUAUUGGGUCUAUGUGUGAUUGAAUUGUGGAUGUAUAAUGUAGUAGUAUAAAUAGGUUUAGGGUUAAUUGUGUUUGUGAUAAGCAAAAGAAAGAAAAAGAGUAGGUAGCAGAUAGAAAAUGAUGUGUAAGAGUAAUAAGUGAUGGGCACUUUUGAUUUGAGAAGAAUAUUUGCAAGGUACCACUUUUGUACACUUUCUUUGAGGGGAAAAGUCUAGUUUCUCAAGCUAGGGAUUAACAUUUUAUGUUUUGUACCUUUGUUCAUUGUUAGUAUCAUAUUAUUAGGUAAAUGAUAGUACUUAAUAUGUUUGUAAUGAGCCAAUGACUAAUGCUAACCAUUAAAACAUUGAUUCUGUAUUUUCACUUAAUGUGAUUUUAUGUUUAUUUUAUACUAAUUUUAUAUGUUGAAGCAUAGCCGUUUUGUAAUAUAAUUUAUAUAACUGCUGUGUCAUGAUAUCCUUGCUUUAUGAAUUUGUAUCCUAUAUUCCUAUGUCAUCUACUCAUAUGUGUGCUUCCUAGAUGAGUUUCUUUGAAGUCUAGGUUUGGCCAAUCCUUUCCUUUCAUUACCCGGAAAAAAUGUAUAUUUUAUUUUUCGUUUUCUAUGCAGGUAAAGAUUGUUGAUGAUUCCAGACCAUUGCACAGCAGGGUUGUUGAGUCUUUCCUGCAUAAAUUUUUCCCUUCUGGAUAUCCAUACAGGUAGUUUGAUUUUUUAUUGAAUAUGUUGCAAGGCAUAGUUAUUAUAUCUUAGACAAGCUAGUUUAGAUUUUUAGUGUUCAAUUUGCAGUGUGAAUGAAGGCUACCUUACCUACACUAAGUUUCGAGCAAUGCAACACAUUACCAGUGCAGCACUAUCAGUGUUAUCAACUCAGGUCUUCUUCUGAUAACUUGAAAACCUCAGCAAAGCAUGUAACCAUAAAAAAGUUCACGUCUUUGAUGUUCUAAAAUAAAAUCCAUUUACCUAGCCACUGAAAGAAAAGGGUGGUCCAGUGCACGAGGCUCCCACCUAGUUGGGUCUGGAGAGGGUAGAUGUGUACAAUCUUACCCUUGCAAGCAAAGACGUUGUUUCCAGGAUUUGAACACAUAACCUCUAGGUCAUAAGGCAAGCAACCUUACUGUUGCGCCGAGGCUCACCCUCUAAAAAGGAAGCCUAGUGUUACUGAAUGUAUGAUGUUUUCCAUUUCAUAUUUGAUUUAUUCCUUAUAUAGUAUAGAAAAUAUUUCAAUGCCUCUUUGGCUGGUACAAUUCAUUUAGUGGUUGUAAUUUUUACAAAAAGAAUCUAUAUGAAACAAUUGUGUGUGAAGUCUAUGUCUUUGGUCUGUAUGCUUAUUCUUCUGCAGUCACUGUUAUUUGCUGCAGGCUUGCGUCCCACUCCUGCACAAGCAACUGCUGUUAGCUGGGUAAAUUGAUACUACAUUCCAAUUGACUAUUUCUCGGACCAGUCGUGGUGGCAUCCAUUUACGAUAUAACAUUUUUUUUCUCUUGUUGGCGUCCAGAUUUUAAAGGAUGGCAUGCAACAUUUAGGGAAUCUGAUAUGUAGUAAUUUGGGUGCAAGAAUGGAUUCAGAGCCUAAACGUUGGAGAAUUCUAGGUUUGCAAUUGAGCUGUUGCUUUUCAUUUUUUCUUGUAUUAGCUCUUAUGACACUAUCAAGGUUUUUGACUGCAAUAAUCAUUGCAUCGCGCAGCCGAUGUGCUCUAUGACGUUGGCUCUGGAUUGGAAGUGCUUUCUCCCUUAUGCCCACAUCUCUUUCUUGAAAUGGCAGGCCUAGGCAAUUUUGCUAAGGUAUAAUUUUUAUUGAAUUUCUUAAAUUAAUUUUACAUGUUGGUAUUUGUUGCUAACAUGCUAUGUAAAGUUGAUAUGAUGCUAAUUGUUGAUUCAUGCAUCUGUAUGUCAUGAUAAAGAACUUUAAUGUCAUAGUGAAAGUGACUGCUCAUUAACCUAUUGUUAUUGUUUUAAUCAGUUCAUGUUUACUCUUAGUCUGCUUAAAAUUGGUGUAAAGCCAUUUACAAAAUUUAAAUUUUAAAUAUUGAAACAAAAUAUGAAAGAGAGAGAGAAUGAAAGGCUCAGAGAGAUGUUAUGCUAUAAACGGAUGAGAGAGGCUAUAAUAGUUGGAUUAGAAAAAAUUCUAUGAAAUAGAGUUCGUAAAGAACCAGUUUCCCCCGCUUAGGCGCCUGCCCUGGGAGAUUGGUCUUUCACAUAUCGGGUGGGAGGAUACUUUGGAAAACCAAAAAAAUAAAUAAAAAGUUAGGUAGUUACGAAACACUGUUCAUUUGAAAGGUAGCUCUUGUGCUCUUACAUAUCUAGUUUUUAGAAUUCCAGACAUCCCUUUAUCUUUAUAUUAUUCUGUAAUCAACAGGGGAUGGCAGUUGUUGCAGCAAGAGCUACAAGGUUACCUAUAUAUUCUGCGUUUGCCAAAGAAGGAAAUCUCAGUGACCUAUUUGCUAAAGGGGAGGCUAUUUCGACUCUCUUCAAUGUUAUUGGAAUUGGAGUUGGAAUUCAAUUAGCAUCUACUGUAUGUUCGUCAAUGCAGGGAAAGGUAAAAUGUCUAUAUAGAUUAUCUUUGCUUGUUCUUGGGAGUUUAGUGUUCAAUAUUUUCUUCAGUUUUUGACUCACAUAAGAAUUUGCGCAAACCACCCAUGAUUGUCGCCAUUGUUUGUUACUGGAAUGGGUGAAGAUUGUUGCGCAGGUUGAGAUCAGAAAUUUGAUGUUUUCUAUUGAAUGUGGUGGCAAAGUUGUAGAUUAAAUGUAGCUUAUGAAGUCAUCCCCAAGGGUAUGGAUCAUAGAUAUUGUUUAUUGGAAAUUAGAACAAUUACUAAAAAAAUAUGAAAGCAAGUGAUUUUUUUUCUAGUUUUCUUAUAGAGAUAUAAAUAUGCUUUGUCAUAUUUUAAUGAUAAAUAUACAUUUUAUUUAUGAUUCCAAACUGAUGGAUUAUGAAAUGUUUCUUGUUAGUUGGUUGCGGGGCCUAUACUUUCAGUUCUACAUGUAUACAGCGUCAUCGAAGAAAUGAAAGCUACUCCUAUCAAUACCUUAAAUCCACAAAGAACUGCAAUGAUUGUGGCUGAUUUUCUCAAGGUCUGCUUUACAAUAUUAUCAUAAAUGAAUGUUCUCUUGUUUCCCUUUAAUUAAAAAGAAAUUGAAAUGCUGUUUGACUGAUAUUUGAAUUCCAAACCAGGCAGGAAAUGUAUCAAGCCCUGCUGAUCUCAGAUAUGGAGAAGAUUUGCUAUUUCCGGGGCGUCUCAUAGAAGAUGCCGGAAAUGUGAGAGUGGGUAGGGCUGUGCACAAGGUUAUUAAGCCUUCAAGGUUUGUUGAAUUAAAACAAAUGUUCCCCGAGGAAAAGUUUCUUUUAAAUCGAGGCGAUAAAUGCAUUGAUAUGGUACUGGCAAAAGACGCGGUCGGCGAAGAUGCAUUGAGAGGGUGGCUAGUUGCUGCAUACGCUGCACAAAUCGACAAGUCCUCUCAUGAGCUCAGUGCCAGUACCCUGCAAGAGGCCUAUGAGAGAAUGAGUGAUGUCUUCCCUGUGUUUUUAAAUGAAUUACAGAACAAAGGGUGGCAUACUGAUCGUUUUCUGGAUGGAACCGGGAGCCGCUUUUCCUUAUAGUGUUCAAAUAGAUCCUAUAUUGACCUGAGUAGGUUUUGUAACCCUUUUUGUGAUAUAGGAUGCAUUGCAGUUAAUGGUUCAGAUAAGUUGAACUUGAUCUCACUCUUUUUCUGCAUUGCUGGAUGGAAUGUUAUAGCUUUGGUUUUAUUGUUCUUCUUUCUCUUGCAAGUUGCAACAAUGUAGAAUAUAUUCAUGGUAUUCUCAGGACUUGUGUUUGACCUUGUUUUCUUCUCUUGGUGUUGUCCUUUUACUAUUAUUAAUUUGCAAUAAAGAAUGUAUGACUCUGGAAUAGUGAAAAGUGUUAUUUGCAUAAUUAAUAAACAUCAGAACUCAGAAGGCAAGUUUUGAUCACUGACAGAAUUUGAAGAUAUGGUACAAACAUUAAGACAUACCGGAAAUUCAUUUGUUUAUAGUAGAUCUUGAAACAAUGUUAAGUAAUCUAUCUUUUAUAUUUCUCAAAAUACUCUUCAGGAAUAGCUAAAACAAGAAAAUUGUUCCAAGAAAAUUCCUUCAAGCUUGUGUAUUCUGAUGAGCAAUUUUAUGGAGUUUAUAAGACUGCUCUUCCACAGUCUUGUCAUUUGAUACUUAAGGUAUCGGAUUAUAAUAUAUUUCUUCGUUCUAGCUUUCUCAAUGUUUUACUUCUUCCUGAACACAUCUCCUACCUAUUAGGAGAGUUGUUUAUAGAAUAAUAGUCAUAUAGGUCAUCUCACAACUUAUUAAAGAUGGAAUUUUUGAACAAAAAAAUCAUUCUCCAUCAAAACAGACAAAUCCUUAUUUUGUUUUUCUUUUUCCUCUUAAGUUGCAAAUCCAGUAUACUAUUAAAAGAUGUUGUCACUUAGCACAUGAUAAUACUCUAAGAAAAUUAAUCUUUCACCCCCUAAGUGGAGCUGUUUGAAAAUUAAAAAGCAUAGUUAGUUCUACAUAAAUUUUAUCUCACAUAAAAAAAAUAAAACAAAAGAUGAAAAGAUAAUAACAAAACUUCAAAAGUAACAUUUUAUCAUGGCGCAAAAGUACUAUUAUAUUAUAUGCAAACUCUGCAAUUUACAUAGAUAAGGAGGCUUGGAAGUACACAAGGCCAUAUUUUAUUACUAAACGUUACUACAAGUUCUCAACAUCCAAAACUUAUUUUAUUUUAAGAUGGCCACCUUAUUUCAACACCAUUGUUAUUUUCUUAUGCAACCUUAGGAAGGGUGUGAUCCUCAGACUCAGACUGAGGACUAACCAAAGGACCCUGGUUUCCACUGUACUUGAGCUGGCUCACCUGAUUCAGGCGAAGACCGAAAGCAUUGGCAAGAACCUCUGCAGGGAUGCCCCUAAACACUUGCUUAACUGGGCUAGUUGCAGCUAAGUCAUUUGUUUUGAAUGCUAUGAACUCAAAUCCUUCAUCCCCUGCUUGGUGUGCCACAACAAAGUUCUGUGGCACCACUAGAAGUUGUCCCCUUCUAAGGUCAUCAUUGAAAACUGAGUUGCCUUGGCAAUUCACCACUUGAACCCUUCCUCUUCCUCUAGUCACAAAGAUCACACUGUUUGCAUUGAUGUUCCAGUGUGGAGCAUAUAUACCAUUCUGCAUGCAUACACUAAUUUCAUGUUAAUAUAAAAUCAUGUUCAUAUAUAUACCAUAUUAUGAUAAGACAGAAUAAUAACAAUUGAUGUGUAUUUCAUAUUAAAACUAUUAGUGUCUAUUUUCGAGUUGGAUUAUGGAGGGGAAUGAAAAGAAAAGAAGGCUCGAGAGCCAUGAAAUACACUUUUCAUUAUUUCCCUUCCAAAACUUAACUCACAUAAGAACCCUCAUGAGAAGUUGUUGAAAUAAUAGUGGCUAAAGUUAAGGUGAUUAAUUACCCUGUAGAGGUUAACAUAGUCAGCACUAAGUUGGAACCAUCUGAGAAUUGGGAGGGUCAAGCUAUUGACACUGCUGAUGCGGCCAGCAUUUGGGUUGUAGAGAUCAGCACGCGAAGGUUUAGCAAUGUUCUCUAGAAGCCUAGCAGUGCAGAUAGUUUCCUCAAGUCCAUUUCUACUUUCUUGUCUCUUUCUCCUUCCUUGUUGUUGCUGCUGCUCUUCUUCUUCUUCCUCUCUUUGUUGUCCUGAUCUGCGUCCUCUACCUCCGUGGCGUCCUCGCCUUCCUUCUUGUUGUUCCUCUUCUUGUUCUUGUUCUUGUCCUUGUUCUUGUCCUUGUUCUUGUCCACGCCCUCUUCCUUGCUGGCGACGCACUCGAGUACUUGUUUCUUCUUCCUCCUCCUCUCCUUCUUCUCCUUGUGCACGUCUGUGUCGGGUUGUUCUCUCCCAUUCACGCUGCUGUCCUCUUCCUUCCUGCUCUGACUCUGACUCUUCUUCCUGCUCUUCUCCUUGGCGUCCUUGUUGUCUUCCCGGACGCCUUCUAGAUUGACGCUCAUAGCGUUCUCGAGAGCGAGGUUCAUCCUCUUCUUCUUCUUCCUCUUUCUCCUCUUCUCUUCUUUCCUCUCUUCGUUCAGGCUGUCCUCUCUGGCGCGGUUCUUCUUCUUCUUCUUCCUCUUCUUCUUGCGACUUGGGGCUGAUAAUGCUGAGACCUCUCUUCACUCUCACAAUUUGCUUCAAACGUUCAUCUGGGUUUUGUAGUCUGUUUAUAAUCUCCUCAUCAACGUUGAACGCUUGAGUCAAAAAUUGUGG